rnacentral:lncRNA from 1 species
CUGUAUAGAGUUGUAAACCAAGCUUUUGUUUUGUCUUCGCUUGAAGGGGCGUGUCGAUGAUCCUUCUUAUGAGAAGGCCAAGCCUGGGUUGGUUCCAGUCAGGUAUCUCGGCCUAACGUUUGGCAUUCAACUUGUUUACUUCCUCAAGGAGCUGUAGGGCAAUGGGGUCCUGAGUGGAGUCAUGUGUCACUGGAAUUUUCUUUCGUAAGUCUUCAUCGCCUCUUGGAAGUAGGAAAGUUUAAGCAAUGACGUGUGGUUUUUUCAUGGACUCGCUGUACUGACUUUUAGGGCAAGUAUGUCGGAAUACCUCAGAGUCCCCCAUACCUUCAUGUUCCUCUGGGACCAGUCAUUCCUUCCCUAGAUUGGCAGUUGGCCUGGGUCGUGGGAGGGGAUCGAGUCUUUCAGAAACCCUUGGGUCAUUGAUUUUCGAGCAUAUGUGGAGGGGAUUUUUUCGACGUUGCUUUAGGAAGUCUCGGCAGUCACGAUAAAUGGUUUUCGAUCCUUCCAACCUUUCUGCAAGGAGGUGUCUUCCUCCACUUUUUCUACUUCGGGUCGAAGCAUCUGGGUUGAAAGAAGUCUCAUGUUGAUCAAUGUUUUGAUGAUUAGCUCGCUCCUCAUCAGGGAUACCCAUGUCGAAUGGAGGUGACCCUCCGUGUUGGGGGGCACCCAGAUGAUAGUUGAUGUCCAUAGGGGUAACGAGCUUCCGUGUUUGAGUACGCUUAGUUUCGUGGAGUGUCUUAAAGAGCUUCUCAUACUGCUCCUGGAGGACCUCAUUCUUCAUUUCUAUCUUGUUGUUCUAAGCUUUUAGCUCAUCGACUUUAGCUUGAAAAGCAACCAUCUUUCCUUCAUUCUUUCGUUUCUUCGCACUAGGUGCAAGAGGGGUGUCAUUCUAUGUGCUGUGGCUUCCUUCGCUCCCCAUGUUGGAAAGGGAUGCCUGGUCAAAAUAGAGUGUACGAAUGGUGGAAACCAGCUUGGCAAAGCUGAAGAGAGUGGGAAUAAGUGUCGUUCCCACAGACAGCGCCAAAUGUUGAUACACAAAAUCAGCGAGGACUUUGGUACAACAAAAAGUGUUAAGUUUGUGACAUUCGCUAGAUUGCUCCGAUCAUUAGUGUGGAUAAGUAAGUAAAUGGAUAGGGACAGGGAAGCAAACACAAGAUGUACGUGGUUCACCCAGAUUGGCUACGUCCACGGAGUAGAGGAGUUCUCAUUAAUUGUGAAAGGUUUACACAAGUACAUAGGUUCAAGCUCUCCUUUAGUGAGUACUAGUGAAUGAUUUGGUACAAAUGACAUUAGGAAAUAUUGUGAGAGAAUGAUCUCUAUUUAUAGAAGAGAGUUUCUAGUUUCAUUCUGACUUUGACACGUGUCGUGUUGUGAUUGGCUUCUGAUGUUGACACGUAUCGCGCUAUGAUUGGCUUCUGAUGUCGACACGUGUCGCACUGUGAUUGGCCUCCUGGUUGGAGGAAAACUCUUCUGGGUCAUUGACGGUAUAAUGUUGACUGGUGCUCAGUAGUUUCGGGAUUGGUCAAGUAUGGUACAAACACAAAAUGUAUUGAUGCUAGGUGAAUAAGUCGCAACACAAAAUGAAAACGGACCAAUGCCAAAUUAAAAUGUAUCGACCAAAUUUAUUUAUUGGUACUAGAUAAAGUACGGACCCAAUUUAUUUACCCAUUCUAUACAUGCCACUUCAAGUAAUGCUUAGAAAGUACAUGCCUACUAACACACAAUUAACUUUAUAAAUUAAAUAUGAAAAUAAAUGUACCAAUCAACAAUAUUAAUAAAAUCGCUUUGAAAAAAAUGUAUAAAGUUAAAUUGAAUAUAGAAAUAAACGUACCAAUCAACAAUAUGAGUAAAAUUGCUUUAAAAAAAUAAUAUAUAUAUAUAUAUAUAUAAUCAAACGAUUGUGGUGGCACUAGUGGCGGUUGUGGUGGCAGUUGUGACGAUUGUGGUGGCGGUGCAGUGGUGGUGGUGGUGGCAGUGGCGGUGAUGUAAGGUUAGUGUUUAUAGUGGUAAGUGGUGGCAAUCAUUUUAUUCUCCAAGGAUUAAAUGUGUGUAGAAGGAUAAAAUAUGUUAUUUUAAAAAACUAAUGAAGGUAUUACAAGAAUUGAAAAUUUUCAUUAAAUGCUCAAUUCCUUUUAAAAACAACCUAUAUGCUUCUUUUAAAAAUUGUUGUAUGGAGACUAUUGUUUUUAAAAUAAACAGAAUAUUUUAUUUUUACCAAACACUUUUUACUGCUUAACUAUAAAUGAAACAAAUUUCGAUAAAAAAAAAACAACACCAAACGAAGCAUAAAACCUAUUAACAAGAAGUGGAGGAGUCUAAUUUCCUCAUGUCUUAAUUAGCAUCUUAACACUAAUUAGCUCGCAAAUAUUUGACUAAUAUACAUAACAAUAAUCAAUCUAACCGAUAAAGAAGCCAUGAAGCCACUCUUCAAUGUUGACCUUCUCAUCCACGUCAAAUUCUCGAUGUUAACAAUAGGCCUUAGUUCAACAAUGAGCAUAUAUUAUUCCGUUAUACUUUCAAAACCAAUAUGAACUCAAACAUUCGGCUAAAAUACACCUCAUAUUCGAACAAUAUAUUUUGUUAAUUGUGAAAGGUGAUUUGGAAGAUAAUUGUGAUACUUGAUGCCAUGCGCGCUCUCGAUUUCUAACUACUCAUGCCGCCAUUGUCAUUGGGUAUGACCGGUGACAACUUGGUGGAAACGUAGCAAUUCGACACGAUUAUUCUCCAAACAUAUGAUUGUUGAGAGCCUGAAUCCUAUGUAAGGGUGGGCAACGGUUAUGCCAGACGGGUAACCGCGGUUAUUUACUUAUAACUGUUUAUGCUCAUACUCGCAUAACCGUUUACCCAUUUGGUAAUUGCCUAAAUUGUUAUACUCAUACCUAUAACCGUUUAUAAACGGUUAACCAUACCAAUAAUCGCAUACCCAUUUAACCGUAACCGUUUAAUACCCGUUUACUCAUUUUUAACUUGUUUAUCUUUUUCCCAUUUUUAACUUGUUUAUCUUUUUUUUUUACCAUUACCCAUUUUUCACCCAUCUACAUGUUUUUUAACAAAUUGAAAUUUUAAAAAAAAUUUGUCAUAAUUUUUUUUGACAAUUAAACACCGUUAUAGGGGUACAUUCAUUAUACAUUUCCUUAUUUUAAUUUUUUAAGUCCUUAUACCGUUUCAAUAAUUGAAAUAAUAGUUUACAGACGAUAUUUUUAAGGGGUGUGAUAUCCACACACCCCAUUUUACUUCUCACACACCUUUUUAAUUUUCGACCGUCGGAUCAGAUGAAUUGAAGAAGAUCAACGGACAAUAAUUAUUAAAGGUGUGUGAGAAGUAAAAUAUGGUGUGUGGAUAGCACACCCCUAUUUUUAACUGUUACCAAUGAAGGUAAUAUAAUAUUUGCUAAGUAUUCUUGGGUUAUGAAAACUGUUUAGAAGACAGUAUUUUUGAGUUAUUUAACCCAUAGUGCAAAGUAUUAACAUAAUAUAUAUAAUGAGCUACAUUAUUUUAUAAUUAGCUAUAUAAACCAUGCACUAUAGUCAAUAGCAUCAGAGGUGCAAUUUGGGCUGAGCCAACCCGAACCCGCCCAUGUCUAACCUGACUUUAAACUCGAAUAAGCGAAUUUUGUUGUUGUUAUAACCCGCCUGAACCCAACCCGAUUUCAACCCGUUCAUUGAUUGGGUUGGAUUGGGUUGAUCAUUUGUCCAUCCCAACCCAAUCCAAUUAACCAAACCCUAUUAGGUUGAGCUGUGCAACAUACUUCUCAAUAACCUUUGCACCUUUGCACCUUUGCACCUUUGCACCUUUGCACUUUCAUGAGAACCUACUGAUAUGAUAUACAAUUUGACUUGAAAGGAAUCAUAUUAAGUUUAUUUUGCUUUUCACAUCACAUCCUGUAGAACAACUUCCUUUAUUAAAUUAAUAUUGCAACUAUUCGACCUCUCUUUGAGAUCUGCUUCACAGUUUGAGUUGUGAUUGUUUCUUAUGCUGAUUCAGACGAAGUAGGCUAUUGAGCAAGUAAAUUUGAGGGAAAGUGAUUUUAAGGUCAGUUGUUUGCUAAUACAAAUAGGUUGACAUCAUUGUUGAAAAACAUUAAACACUACUUGAAAAAGUUAGGCAACCCAAACUCAACCCAAGUAAAUCCAAACCCGAUUAAACCCGAGCCCGACUAAACCCGAUUAAAACCCAAUCCGAACCCGAACCCGAAUUGUAAAAGUUGGGUUAGGAUUUGGUUGAUUUUCCAACUCGCCCGAGUUGCACCCCUAAAUAGCAUUGAUCUAAGUUUUGUCCUAUAGAGAACAUGGUUUGUGUUAAUUUUACAUAUAUAAAAUAAAUGGGUAAACGGUUACCUGUUUAUAACCGUUAUUUAUACCUAUAACCGUUUAUUUAUCUAAAUAGUUACCUAUAACCAUAACCGUAAAGUUUAAAUAAGUGGGUAACUGCGAUUACAAGGUAUUUUACCCAUAUUCCCAUGUCAGAAAGUAAAGCAUUGCCGUAUAAUUUAAAUUAUCUUAGAUCAGUUGAUUUUAGACCGAAUGUUCACAUUCUAAAAUUUCUAAUAACGUCUGCGUUGGUUGUGAUAUGAGUUCUGCACCUCCGAUAUUGUAAAGCAUUAAAUAAAGGCCCAAUUACAAAUUCAUAAUUUUGGCCCAUGGUUUUUGGGCCCAGAGUAAGGUUGCGUAAUUUCCAGGGUCAAGUUUUAAAUUUGAUGCUUAAAUAGCAAGCCCAACCUUUUGCAAUCUCUUACAUGGGCAUUUUCCAGUCUUUACUUUUCAUUUUCAUUUUUACUUUGGAAUUCUAAUCCUGUAUAACAGUACAUGUGGAAAAUCUAUAUCUUUUUUUCUUUUUCUGCAUAUUCCUGUUUAGUUUUGUUAUUUGAUUUUCUAAUACUUUAUUUCAUUCAAAGGUUAGAAAUGAGCAAGAUUUGUGUGUGGGAGAAAAAAGUGUGUGCGACAAUCAUUUCUCAUUUCAUUUUUUAUCGAGGAGAUAAGAGAUUCAAACUUAAAAUCUCUUCUAACAUUGAGAAGUAUCACUAUUGUACUAACGACUAGUUGGUAAUCUUGCACAUGUGUUCAAAACCAAAAAAUUUCUAUUUUGUAUAAUGAGAUGCAAAAUUUAGAUUGCAACGAAGUUCUUCUUUUUAUGCAUGUGAGAGUGAAAUUGCAAUAAAUCGAACAACUUCAAUUACAUAUAUAAGAGUUUCUUUUCUUGUUUGUUAGAAAAUUUUGUGCAGAACGGUUUCAUAUUACAUAUGUAUCUUUUUACUUUUUAUCACGUAUCUUGUCAGGUGACUUCGCAAUGAGAGAUAGAAACACGUCAAGAUACAACGAUUGUUCCAAGAAAGUUUUCUAGUGGUAUGAGAAAGUUAACGAAAAGGGUUGGGACUUGGGAGGCGUUACGUCGUUAUCUGUAACGGUCUUAACAUGGAGCCAAGAUGGGAUGGUAGGGUUUUCGUGUGCAUGAAGGAUGCAGAUGACCUGAUCUGCCUUUCCCUUUGUGCUUGUGACCUCCUGCAAUUUCCAUAUCGACAAAACUUUUGCCCCUUGAUGGAAAUAUCCAACUUUGUGGGGGCCACCAGUCCAAUCCAUGCAUGGAUCCGGCCCGUUCAAUUUUCAUCGCCAGAAUUCAGUUGAUCACCUUGAUAUCAUGACCUAAUUCAAUCAUCAUUUGGAAGACUUUUUUGUCAAAUAAAACGAAAUAAUUGAUUAAUAUGAUUACAAGAUUAAUUCUUCAUUUUCAACAAUAUUGUAGGAUUUAUUUACUAGAGUGAUAGAAGAUUUGAACUUGAAUCCAGACCGCUUUAAAAACUCGUAAAAAAAUAGUAUCAAUGACCAUUUCCUCCUGUUUUGGAGGCAAAUUUGGUCCACUGUUUUUGUGCAUGAAUAAUGGUUGCCUUUAGUAUUAUUUGCUACUUUUUCUUCAGUAAAACAAUAAUACUGUCACUUUCUAUGAUGCCCAUUUCACACUAGCAUGCCCUGGAAGAACUAAAUAUCUUUUGUCAACAAAAAUCUUCCAUAGGUUGUUCCAAUCCAAGCUAGCCUUGGGUUGUCAUGAUGAUUUUGGUUUUAAUACAAAGUAAAUGGUAUAUAUCAACCGACCAACUGUAUAAGUUACUGUCAGUCGUUAAUAUAUGAACGUUGGUUCAUAUAAAUCUCAUAGGUUCCAUUUGGUGUACGAAAUGAAAGGUUGUGAGUAACAGUUAUAUCCUUAAAGAAAAUAUUGACAAAUUAUGUAAUGUACCCAUCCUGCAGUCCUCAUGUUGGCCAUAACCCUACCCAUGUGCAAAUACAAGUGAACAUAUAUCUCUUUUAAUGUAAUCAAAAUUAAAUUGAAACUUAAAACUUAAAUAAGAUUAGGGUUUUGAAUAUUCUAACGUGCAUGGGUUUGGUGACAUAGCAGGUUUAUUCGGUCCCUCGUACACUAGCAAAAGAGCUUGAAAUUAAUUAAUAUAAUUUUAAUUAAAUUAAAUAAUAAUGAUUAAGCUGAGUAAGAAGGAAGAAAGAUCUCCUAAUUAAUCAUCUCCCAAUUGGAUGCAUGACAGUAGCAUUUGGCCCACGUUCCGGAGUAGGCUCCAUCCUCCAUAACAUGCACAUGAGCUGCCAACCAUUUGGUCUCUCUGGGACCGCAUCAUAUUCAUCUGCAGUUAUUUGGAUUCUCAUACGAUCGACACAGAGAGAGAGAGAGAGAGAGAGAGAGAGAGAGAGAGAGAGAGAGGUUUGCAUUGUGAUGAGUGUGAACCCAUGAGACGUUGCAUAGUAUUAUCUUCUGCUACUAUCCCUCCCCAUUGGUUCUGCAAACCCAACACCAACCAAGAUAAGCGUUAGGCUAGUCGGUCGCCUUACCGCUUCUGGUGACGGUAUACUGUUGAUGUAUGUAUAAAUAAUGAACGACUGAGUUUAGUAUUCAUCUAUCUCUUUUGAAAUACCAAACGUACAAUAUGUGACAUUUGUGUAACAAAAGCCGUCUCCUUAUUCUUAUACUUCCAACACCUAGAGUAGUACGUAGCAGUGGUAGUCUUAUCGCACUUACUGACCUUUUUGUUUCAAUUGAUUCUCUCGAUUGAUAAGUGGCCGGUGUUUGGUCCUAAAUAGAAAUUAGGUUAAAUUAUAAACAUAAUCUUUUUCACAAAUGUAUGUUUUACAAUAAGGUAGAAUAAUUAUGUUGACAAAAUUGAAGGUUUCAAUGUACGAUAGAUUAAUUGGAAUGUAGAUGAUUCUCAGUUGUUGAGGCAUUCACUUUAUUUGGUGCGGAUGUAUAAUUGAUGGACAGUCGUUCAUGCACGUGUGUUUGUAUGAAGAUAUGUAAAGCAACCCUCUAGAUAUGAAUAGACAUAAGGUCUUUGUAAGUUGGGCUACUACUAUAUAGCGAAUUAAUUUUAUGUUGAAACCUCAGCUUUAUUCAUGAUAUCAAAGUAGGGUGUUUCAUGUGUGAAGCCCAACGGCUACACGUGCUUCACAUCACUCAUUUUAUUUUGUCCAUGUGCUAAGCUUAAAAAUUCGUCACGUGAUGAGACGUGUUGGAGUAUUAAUCCUACAUCGAAAAGAAGGAAACUUGCAUUGACAAAUAAGAUACGCUAAUACCCAUAUUAUCAAUUAAUUUUAUAAAUUUUAUAGUAAAACCCAAACAUUUUUCAUAAUUUUCUUUGGAGUUAACUAAAGCCAGAAGUUUGUGGUGUUGUUAACUCACUACCUAGGAGUGGACAUUUUAACCGGUAAAUCGGGUCGAGAAAACCAAAAGAAUCGGGUUUGACAUUGUCACAUUCUUGUUGCAUUUUUUCCCAAAUACCGAAUGUAAUGUGCCAUUCUUGUUACGGACAAGGAUUGUCUGCCCUCCUAGUUGUGGUGCCCUUCUAUGCCCUCCUAUUUUGUGCGGUCACGGUUAAGCCACGUCAACAUUUUAUAUUAAUUUUUUAAUGAGAUAAUAAGACAAAAAACAAUAAAAAUAUAAAAUAUUAACGUGGCUUAACCGUGACCGCACAAAAUAGGAGGGCAUGGAAGGGCACCACAACUAGGAGGGCACCUUGUCCUUCUUGUUACAAAAGCCUCUUUAUUCUUAUCCAAUAGAAGUAGUACGUAGUCUUAUCUCACCUAAUGGUCUUUUCUGUCAAUUGAUUCUCUCAGUUUAUAUAUAAGCUUUGUUUGUUUCAAAAUACAAAUUAGCUAAAUCAUAAACGUAAUGUGUUUCUGUUUGGAUCUUACUGUACACCAUUGAUCUGUUUAAUUGAGGCUGUUGAAUUUUAAUAUUUUUCUUAAAUAUUACUAUUGCUGAUUCGAAUUCAAUAGAGAAAACCAGGCAUUAUCCAUUGCUGGUUGUUUGUUGGAGAUCCAUUUGUUGAUAAAGACUUACUCAAGUGAUGGCAAGGAUUUUCCAACUUGGCUUGAGUAAAGAAAAGAUAAAAGAAGGUACCAUCCAUUUGUGAUAUUAUCCCUUUGGCCAAUUUGAUAAUUUAUUCUUUUUGGCCAAUUUGAUAGUAUUUCCUAAUAGAAUGCUCAGUGUUCAUUAAGAUAAAGAUGGCCAUCAAAAGGCCUUUGGUAGCCACGGUAUGGACUUUACAACACGUUCAAGCGUAUUAGUCCUAUAAAUACAUAAAACCGUGUAAUGAGAAGGCAACCUUCAACUUAACAUACAAAUAUGCCUUGCACAAAUCUCGCUCUAGGCGAACACUUCUCACACUCAGAGAACUAACUAACUCACAUUUUGAGAAAUCACUAACUCUCCACUUUCCUAACUACUUAAAGCUCGAUUGAUUAUCUAUCCAAGUCUCAGCUGACGAGGAGUCCUUGAUUCUUUAAUUGAACGAGGUCACUUUACUAGCUUUCCAACCAAAUUAAGUGUUUUAUGCUUGGUUACUUCUGGUACAUUUUAGAGUUCGGUAUUCUGACGGUUGAACAACAUUUACCAUCAAGACAUUUAUCUCUUUCGAGUACGAGUAUCCUUACAGUUUAACUCCGAACUGAUCAGAGCACUUAUAUUUUCACAAAUAUAGUCGAGGCGGCCGAACCUGGUGCAAAAGAUCAUGAACUUCACAGUGACUAACAACCUUUUUGACAUCACCACCACAUUCAUUCUACUAACCGACCGAGUUCGAUGGCAAGUUAGCACGACCGCAUUCAUCAUAAUGACGUAGUUAGCUUUUUGUUAUUCAGUCUACGUGUAAGUAAACUUGAUAGUUUUUAAGGUCAACAAUUUCACAAAUUGUGCUUUACAUUCUAACAAGUUUUACGAUCUCAACUUAUACUAGACGAAGGCGGACGAUCGAUUGUUAGUUGUUGCUGCGAGUUUCAUUGUGAUUGCGGAUGUAUAAUUGACAUACAAUCGUAACGUGUGUUUGUGGGCAAAGCAACUCUCUAGACAUCAAAAGAUAAGGUCUUUAGUUUUAUUCAGAAUUUGAGGUGUCUAUAUAAGUCACAAAAACCAAGAAACCUCUCGAACUCGUACCUUGGAUGCAGUGGAUGGGUUCCUAUCACAUGGUUGUCGCCAAAGGCAACAGAAGAGUACUCGCUAUAAUACUAAAUUAACAUGGUCCACUAGACGGUGGCUUUCCACCCUUUUUGUCGAUCGUGAGAGUAUGAUUUGGCCAAAUGCACUGUUAUUCUCCCAAAGUCGAGGUCAAUUUAGUAAACUAAUAUAUAGAAGUUUUUAAAAGUCACUAGUCUAGUAGCGGGUAGAGGCCUGUCGCUUAGGGGGGCCUAGGUAAUUUUUUAUUUUUAAUUAAUUUUUUAUAUAAUAUAUAGAUAAAUAUCUACUUAUAUUUUUUUUAAAAUAUAACUGUAUUGAGAUACAUUAAUUAGAAAAUGGAACUAUAUAUAAAUUAUAAAGUAUUAGAAUUGAAAACAUGGGGAAUAAACAUAUAAUGAGUGUUCAUCUCAAUAUUUAACAAGUUUUUUACAAUUUAUUGAAAAAAUAAAAUGUAAAAUGAAAGUUAUCUAUUUUCUAUCUAAAUGAGAGUUACGAUCUAGACGAGCGCCUACGCAGAUCUAGACGCUCUUUCUUAGUUUUCAAACGUCUAGUGAUCAAUCAAAGCGAUGACUACCUGCUUAGCGCCUAGGCAGGCUUAAGCGAAGCUAGGCGGUAAUUUUUAAAAGAAUGUGAUAUAUAGUUAGUAAUGAUAGCUACAAGGAAGAAAGAAACAACCCCACUGUACGAAACCAAAAACACUAAGCUACGAUGUGUUCUUAUCAUCUUAAGUUGUCCUACGAAUAAGUUAUGAAACCUAAUAUUAUGUUGUUGACCUAACCAAGUAGCUAGUAGCUAGUAUCGUUCACAUCAUCACUCCUAAAGUAACUUGAGGUAAAUUAGUUGCAAGAUAGCUAGAAUACAGAUCCGUCAAGGGACAUUUUUGUAAGACACAUUUUUAUUGAAAGCGCUACAAAUUUUUAUCGAAAAUUCAAGUACAUCUUGUUGGAGCAUAACGUGGUAUUGUUUGCAUACAUCAUGUAAAACUUUUACAUGUUAGGAUUUAACAAAGCAAGUAUUUUACGUUUUCAUCUCUCACACUUCAUUGUGAUCGAAACUCAAAAGAAAGAUGAUAAUAAGGUCAACUAGUACCCUAAUGAAUAUGAUUUUUAAUUUUCCGUGUAUUGCAUUACGGUUAAAAUGCAAGAUUUUUCCAAUAUUAAACUAUCAUAAGUAGUGUGUGAUGUCAGAGAUAUUACGAGACGAAGAACUUGCUGGUUCUAGUAUGAAAAUUGUUUUUGAAAUUUUGAUUUAAAAUGAUUCAGUCUUCAUAGGUGUCGGCGGGUUGGAUUGGUUUUUAGCUUAAAAGACCAUUUCUGUCCAUUAAUGUUGGUAGUCAGUUGAAUCAAUUAUUUUUUCUACGUGUUUAAUCUUAAACAAAAUUAAAAAAACGGUUUGUUUGGGGAAGGCUGUUAUUUAUUUUUAUUAAUUUUGAAAAAGUCGCGGUAAAAUCCCGGACAACUGUCAGCAGCUGGAGUCACUGUCAGUCGCGCUUGCACGCCGCCGUAGCUUAUUAAACUCCGGUCACUCACUUCCGCUCGUCUUCCGCCGGAAACGCCCUUUUUUUUUUGCUCGAUCAAUAAAAAUUAAAGUUAAAAAAAAAAGAAAAGAAGAAGAACGUUUCUGAAUUACCAAUCAGCUCUUCAACUUCCAUUGGCCACAGCAGUACAGAGCACUGUGUCUCUCUACUUUCUCUCUCUACACACUCUCUCGUAUACUUUCUCUCUCUAUACAGAGAGAAACACAGCACGAGAGCUCUCUGUUGGUAUUUUUUACGGACGUACACGCGGUUGUGUAGGCGUAGAUUCCUUUGCCCCCACUGCGUCAUAUAAUUUUAUCAAUAAAUAAAUGCCAAAAAGCUCUCUCUCUCCCCGCUGAAACCGCAUUUAUACACAGAGAGAGGGCCUAUUCCUAACGUUUUCCUCAUUUUUAUGUGCUGCUUUGGUUUGCCUAUAUUCACUCCUCCUCCGGGGAUCUCAGCCGUCCUCCGCCGCUCUUGCGAGAAUUCACCGGCUCAGCUGUCACCGGCAAGUUUCUCUCUUUGCUUUGGUAUUUAUUUCUGCUGAAAUUUUAAGCUGUUUUUUGUUUGUAAAGUUGGAAACUUUGCUGUGAUGGAAUUGAUGGGUUUUGAGUAUGUUGAUUUUGUGCGGAUUUUGAGGGCAUAAGUGGGUAAUUUGUGGAUUUUGGGCAGAUGGGCAGAUGGGCAGCUGUUGUUUUAGCCCAGUGCAUACGUGGUCUACAGUGUACUGCUUUUGGAUUUCUGGGGAACCUAUAGAGAAUAAUUGCCAGAAAGAUAUGGUCUUGUAGUGUAAACUUAUUGAUUUCUGGGUGAAAUCGAAGGUUUCAUAUCUGGGUUUGUUUUAAUUCGUUGAAUUGGGGAUUUAUAUCUCGUGGAAUUGGACUAUUGGCGUUAUAAAAUUCUGGAGUUUUUGUGGAAUUUGGAUUUAUGGAGGCUUUUGGAGGCAGAGCUCGGAAUUUCUAUGGUACGAUGGUGCCGGAUUUGAAGGGGGCUGGGAAAAAGAGUUUGGAAUGGGAUUUGAAUGAUUGGAAAUGGGAUGGUGAUCUUUUUACCGCUAGUCCUUUGAAUGCUGUACCAUCUGAUUGUAGGAGCAGGCAGUUGUUUCCGCUUGGGCUGCCGGAAACUCCCUCCACUGCUGGUUUGUCCAACAGUUCUUCUUCUGGUUCGGACGGUAUCUGUCCAGGGAAUGAGAAAGGUAAAAGAGAGCUGGAGAAAAGAAGAAGGGCUAGUUUUGUAGAAAAUGAAGGGCUAACUGAUGAAGUUGGGUCUCUUAAUCUCAAGCUUGGCGGGCAAGCUUACCCAAUCAUGGAAGGAGAGGUACAACAUGGGAAGAAGACGAAGAUAGUUGGGACUACUUUAAACCGAGCAGUUUGUCAGGUGGAGGACUGUAAGGCUGAUCUUAGCAAUGCCAAGGAUUACCACCGACGACAUAAGGUCUGUGAUAUGCAUUCUAAGGCAACUAAAGCGGUGGUGGGAAAUGUUUUGCAGCGGUUCUGUCAGCAGUGUAGCAGGUUAGUUCAAUUCUAUGGUUGUCCUUGUAUGGUGAGAAAUAUUUCAAAUUUUCUUCAGUUAAGUUCUACGUCGUUUAUUCGGUGCUUUCUUAUAGACAUUGUUUCUAGAAGAUGAAAUACAGAGUUUGAUUUGUAAGUUUUAAAAAAAUUAUUUGUUGCUCUCAUGAUUUGGGUCCAUAGUUGUUCAUCACUGUGUUUGGUAUAGUCGAAUUUUGAAGAACUUUUUUGUUGAAUUUGGAAUGUGGUUAUACUUAUGGGCAGGUUUCAUGGCCUUCAAGAGUUUGAUGAAGGAAAGAGAAGUUGUCGUAGACGUUUGGCAGGCCACAAUAGGAGGAGAAGAAAAACACAUCCUGAUACUGUAGUUAAUGGAGGCUCAUUGAAUGAUGAAAGAGGAAGCAGUUAUCUAUUGAUUAGUUUGCUGAGAAUACUCUCCAACAUGCACUGUAAAUCUUUGUGUUAUUGCACAUUCAAUUUUUGGCUGCUUUGCCUGACAUUAAAUUGAUAUGCUAAGUGUAUGUUAAGUGGUUACCGGAUUGUGUGUUGAUUGCCAUAGACUGAUGUCAAAGUUCUUGUGGUCUUUUGCUCUUAGGUUUUGUCAUUAUUUGAUUGAGGCUUGUAGCAAAAUGAUUAUGUCAAUUAACAUUUAAUAACUCCACUCAUAAAUUUUUAUUUGUAAACAUACAACAUAUUACUUGAUGAGUCCUUAACUGCUUAAGGUGCUCUAUUUUUGUGUAUAAAUGACAAAGUGCUAGUUUCUCUGAAUUUAAUUUGAUGAAAAUUUGAAUAUUGAUGCUUACGCAUGAAAAGUUUUCAGUUUUUCAGAGGUUGAUUUGAUAGAAAGUUAGAAUUUUGUGCAGACCUUCAUGUCGAAAAAUAUUUCAAUUUUUAUAAUCCAGAUUACACCUUGUGUGCUUGAAUUUCAUCCCUUGAACCCUUGUUUUUUGCACUUUCUUUCUCUGAUUGUUGGACUGUCCAUAUUUCACAUUCUAGGAUGCAUGAAGGAAGGGCCUAUUAAAGGGAAUUCUAAUUAGGAAUUGUUAUUUAGGAAAUUAUGUCUCAGUGAUCAUGUUAUUAUAAUAUUUAUUUGAUUAUGUUUGUGUUUGUUUUUCUUCUCAUAAGUGUCUUACUCAACUCCACUUUUGAUGCCUAAAAUGCAGCUAAUAGUUCAGAUCAAACAAAGGAUCAGGAUUUGCUAUCUCAUCUUUUGAAGAAUCUAGCCAAUCUUUCUGGUACAGUUGAUGGAAGAAACAUGUCUGCAUUGCUUACGGCAUCUCAAGGUUUAAUAAAUGGCGGGGCAUCAAUUCAGACUGCACAAAAGGUCCCAGAUACAGUUUCCAACGGCUGUGAACCAAGUAAGCCUUCUGUUUCAGCCUCUAAAAUGGAUGAUUAUAUUAAUGGUGAGGACCCUUCAAGACCUAUACGACAGUGUUCUACGGUACCUGCAUCAGAUUUCAGGAGAAUAUCUUCAGUUGAUGCAGAUCAUGGAGGUCUACAAGUUGUUUCAGGUCUAAAUGCCACGAAGCCAUUUCCUUCAAGAGACAGUGUUCCAUCCACAUCAGUUGCACCAGAAGCUACAAUGGGGAGGAUGCAGUUAAAUGGCAUUGAUUUAAAUAAUACAUAUGACGAUUCCCAGGACUAUUUGGACAACCUAGGGAAUUCGCAUGCCCCUGUAAAUUCAGGGACAGUGGCUCAUGGUUUUCCCUUUUGGAUGCGUCAGGAUUCGCAAAAGUCUAGCCCACCUCAGACAAGUGGGACUUCAUGCUCAACUUCAUCAAGUUCUAGUGGAGAUGCUCAGGUAUAUUCUUGUUGUACUUGCAUCUCGUUCCUCGUUAUUGCUUGGUAUAUUAAUGCUUGUAUAUGCCAUAACCUGUCCUUUUCUGUUGGAUAAAAGAAUAGCUUUGUUCUCACUUUAAUUUGGCAUUUAGGUGACAAUGCUUUGCAUUCGACUUGUCCGUUUGUCUAGCCAAUUGAUUGAAAAAACAUGAAGUACUCGGCAUACCUAAUAAAUACUUCUGUUGUGACGUAAGAGUCAAGAUGGAUUCUCUUCUUUUGUAUAGUGCUUUGUAUGUAUAAAUGUGUGCGUAUGCUUCUGCUUGAUAAGGUUUAUAGAGUUGUAGUUAAACUACAGGAGGUUGCAGGCUAUAUCAGUUAGAGUUGAGUAUUUUUUAAAUAUUUUUUAUUAUGAAGGCCAGUGUGUAAAAUGUUACUGCACUGUUACGUCUCUUAACCACUCUUUUUCUGCCGUGUUUCAGAGUCGCACAGACCGUAUUGUUUUUAAACUCUUUGGAAAAGAUCCAAAUGAUCUUCCAUUUGUUCUACGAGCACAGGUAAUAUUUGGUGCCUUGAUUUAAUUCUUCACAAUGUAACUUGUGUUUCCUUGCACAUACAACAAUUUUAUGAAAUAUUUUGAAUAUCCAGAUUCUCAACUGGUUGUCCCACAGUCCUACUGACAUUGAAAGCUACAUAAGGCCGGGAUGUAUCAUUUUGACAGUUUACCUCCGUCUAGAAAAAUCCACGUGGGAGGAGGUAUGUUUCUGUGCUGAUGCCAAAAUGUUGAUUGCUGACCUUGUAUCAGGGAGAUCUCUUUUCUUGUCCUUAAUUGUUAUGUUUGCCUGCAGCUCUGCUGUAAUCUGGGAUCCAUUAUAAAACAACUUUUACAUGCUGCCAAUGAUCCUUUUUGGACAACAGGAUGGGUGUAUACUAGGGUGCAACAUUCUGUAGCAUUUACGUACAAUGGUUUGUUCUCUCUCUCUCUCUCUCUCUCUCUCUCUCUCUCUCUCUCUCUCUCUCUCUCUCUCUCUUAAUUAUUCAUUCAUAUAUUUUCUAGCUCAUUUAGUGAUUUACCAAUAGUUGUGUUAUGAAAGAAAAGACAUUUUAAAUAGUUAUGUCUGUACUGCAGGUCAAGUUGUCUUAGACACACCCUUACCUCUGAAAAGCCAUAAAAAUUGCAAGAUAUCAUGCAUCAAACCAAUUGCAGUUUCUUUAUCCGAAAGAGCUGAAUUUGUAGUAAAGGGGUUUAAUCUUUCUCGUGCCACCACAAGGUAUCCUUAUCUUUCAUUCAAGCUUCAUUAUGUAGACCACUCCAGUGUCAUAUGUUAUUUCUGAAUUAGUAACUAUCAGGAUAACUGGGAAGGAGGAAAGUACUAAGUCCUAGCUUGUGACAGGUUGCUCUGUGCUCUGGAAGGGAAGUAUCUAGUCCAAGAAACUUGUUAUGACUUGAUGGAUGGUGCUGAUACAACCUUUGCGAAUGAUCAGCUACAGUGCCUCAGAUUCUCCUGCUCUAUACCCAAUGUUACUGGCCGAGGACUCAUUGAGGUGCUGUUCCAUUCUUAAUAUAUGUUUUAUAUUUCCUUUGAAGUGUGCUUAUCAUUACUUAUUUAUUUAUUUUUAUUUCAGGUUGAAGACCAUGGUCUCAGCGGCUGCUUCUUUCCAUUUAUAGUUGCCGAGCAGGAAGUAUGUUCAGAGAUUUGUACCCUGGAGGGUGCGAUUGAGGUGGCUGAGACUGCAGAUAACAUCCAGACAGAACCUGAAAAGUUGGAAGCCAAGAACCAAGCGUUGGACUUUGUACAUGAAUUGGGUUGGCUCCUUCACAGAUGUCACACUAAAUUUAGACUUGGUCACGGGGAUCCCAACUUAGAACUAUUUUCUUUUAGACGGUUCAGGUUGCUUAUGGAGUUUUCCAUGGACCGUGAUUGGUGUGCUGUAGUGAAGAAACUCCUGGGCAUUCUGCUUGAGGGUACCGUUGACACUGGAGAACAUCCUUCUAUUGAGCUUGCGUUAUUGGAUAUGAGCCUCCUCCACGGAGCCGUGCAAAGAAAGUGCAGGCCUAUGGUGGAACUCUUGUUAAGAUUUGUCCUAGACAAAGGGUGGCAACAAGUUGACGGGGACGGCAGCAACUUCUUAUUUAAACCCGAUGCAGUUGGGCCCAUGGGAUUGACUCCUCUUCAUGUUGCAGCCAGUACUGAUGGAUGUGAGAAUAUAUUGGAUGCCUUAACUGAUGAUCCUGGAAAGGUAAUUUCUCAUUGUCUUCUUUGACAGUUUUCUUUCUAAUUGGAUGUAAAAAUCAGAACAGGUCUGCAUCAUUAUCCAUUUUUCUCCGUACGUGUUUGACCGUUUGCUCAUACAAAUGACUCAUGUCAGCUCAUUCUGUGUCUCACAUGAAUGUUGAUAUUUCAAAUCGUUGUAUUUUCAAGCAUACAAAUGUUGAUAUCUUUGCUUCUUUAGGUGGGAAUUGAAGCGUGGAAAAAUGCUCGAGACAGUACAGGAUUGACACCAAAUGAUUAUGCAUGCCUGCGAGGCCGCUACACCUAUGUCCAAAUUGUCCAGCGGAAAAUCAACAAGAAACAUGAAAGCGGGCACGUGGUGCUUGAUAUCCCUGGCGUUAUCUUAGACAGCAGCAGCAAGCAGAAACAAUUAGAUGGGCAUAAGUCCUCAAAAGUCUCCAUCUUGGAGACCGAAAGGAUCGAUAUGAAAGCAAUGCAGGCACAUUGCAAGCAAUGUGAAAUGAAACUAGCAUAUGGAAACACAAGGUCGUUUGUGUACAGGCCGGCAAUGCUGUCAAUGGUAGCCAUUGCUGCUGUCUGUGUUUGCGUGGCCUUGCUCUUCAAAAGCUCGCCUGAAGUCCUUUAUGUCUUCCAGCCCUUCAGGUGGGAACUCUUGGAGUAUGGACCGAGCUAAGGCAGUUUACGCGUCUCAAAUUUUAGUUACUCUGGCUUUAGGCCGUUUGUGUUAAUCAUAUGUAUAAACGGAUAACUCAAAUUUUAGUUACUCUGGCUUUAGGCUGUUUCUGUUGAUCAUAUGUAUAAACCGAUAACUCUAUAGGGAACAUAAUGUACCAGUUUUCGUAUCCGUUAAGAUUUCCACGAGAGGUGUUGCACUGUAUGUAUUAAUGAUAGUUCAUAUAAAGCGUGUAUAGGGAAAGAUUGACGUAAAUAGUACUAUUGACCAAUUGUUGAGGCAAUAGAUUGCUGCAUUACUUCCAAAAACACAUACAAACAUUGUAUUCGAUGAGGCGGAAGAUUCGGACUUGAAAAUUCUUUCGCUUUUAAGUCAGCUUUCUUAAACAGAAGACAAUAUUUAGUAGGGCGGCCUGACUAAUAAUUUCUUUCGCUUUUAAGUCAGCUUUCUUAAACAGAAGACAAUAUUUAGUAGGGCAGCCUGACUAAUAAGUAGGUUAGACUACUCUUGCUAAAUUUUAUGCAUUGAGAGUUGUAUUUACGUAAGACUGGAUGGUGACCAAAUACAUAGAAUCACGUUCCUUCAUGAGGGGAUAAGGCUGUCUCACAAAGGUUGGAGCUUUGUGCUUACUUAGAUACAUGAAUCUCGUUCUUUCGUGAGUCAACUUUUCAGGUUAUUCAACUCAAAUGUUAUGAAUAAAAUUGGGCCAAAAUUAGAUCAAACAGUUGUUUUUCUCCAAAUAUUUUUAAUUUGGUCAAAUGCAUGAAUCUCGUUCUUUAGUGAGAUAACUUUUCAUGUUAUUCAACUCAAACGUUAUGAAUAAAAUUGGACCAAAAUUAGAUCAAACAGUUGUUUUUCUCUAAAUAUUUUUAAUUUGGUCAAAUCCAAUCCGAGUCUAAUAUUAACUAGCAAAAAAAAAAGCAGAAAAAUGGAUUUUACAGGCUAAUAAAAUAAUAGGAAAAGGACUCCAGUCACAGAGACACGUUGACUCAUAUUUUGACAUGAAAUUGUUUUCCACUUCAACAAGUCAUAUUCAUGGUCCUUACAUAGUGUACACAAUUAUUACCUUGUUUAAUCUUUUUCAAUUAUUUUGUCGUUUUGAACCUUUUUUCUUUGGUUUAAUUGCCAAUAAUUCAAGCAUUAAAUCUUGAUCUCGAAAUGGAACAAUUUUCCGGUGUACUAAGAUCACGUUCACGUAAAAUUACUGGUUCAUUUAAAUUAUAUUACGUAGAUUUGUUAAUAUUAAGUUUAGGUUAAAUCUCACAAUAAUUAGUAAUAAUAUGACGAGAAUUAAACUUGAAAUAUAUCACUUAUAAUAAAAUAAAAUAUCAUUAGUUUAAAUAUUAAAAUGAUACACCUCGUAACUUGUAACGCUGUUAAUUUCUAAUCGAAAUCAAAAGGAGACGCGUCAUUUGAGGCCACCACCUCUCUCCUCUCACUCUCCCCACUGAAACCGAAUUUACACAGUAAGAGAACCCUUUUCCUAACCUUUUCCUAAUUUUCAUGUGCUGAUUAGCUUUGUCUCGGGGCCUAUAUUCUCUCUGCCUCAACUGCGAUCUCAGCCACUUCUUCGUCAGCUCUCAGUUCUCAGCUCAUCUCCCAACAAUUCACCAACCUGCCGGCAAGUUUCUCUCUCUUUACUCUCUCGCUCUCCUCUUUAUUUCCACAAAAAAAGAUUGGGUCUUUCAGUUCUUUCAGCUCAAGUUUCUUUCCAUGGAGUUGAAAGCAUUGACUAGGAUGUAAUUGUGGGCUUGCAAAUACGGUAUUUUGUACUGACUUGUUGAGAGAAAAACUGGGUAAUUGGUGGAUUUUGGGUUCUGGGCAGCUGUAGCCUGUAGUUUAGCUCCAUUUUUAUGCUGGUGUGCUGUUCUUGGUUUUCUGGGGUUCUUGGAAAGAACAAUUUCCAGAAAUUUCUGGGGCUGUGGUGUUAUUGACUUUUUGUUUUGGGGUGAAAUUUAUAGUUUUAUCUCUGAGCUGUAGUUGUUGUUAUUGUUCAAUUGGGUGUUUGUAUCUGGUGGAGUUUGACUAGGGGGCAUUGUAACAUCUCUGGGUUUUUUGUAUCUUGAUCUAUGGAGUCUGAAUUCGGAGGAAAGGCUUGUAAUUUUCGUGGUGUGAUGGUGCCGAAUUUGAAGGGGGUUGGGAAAAAGAGUUUGGAAUGGGAUUUGAAUGAUUUUAAAUGGGAUGGUGAUCUUUUUACUGCUAGUCCAUUAAAUUCUACACCAUCUGAUGGUAGGAGUAGGCAGUUGUUUCCGGCCAGGCCAGAAACUCCGUCGGAUGCUGGUUUGUCCAACAGUUCUUCUUCUGGUUCGGAUAAUAUCAGUCCGGGGAAUGAGAAAGAUCAAAGAGAAUUGGAGAAACGGAGAAGGGAUUUUUUUGUGGAAAACCGAGAGUUGAAUGAUGAAGCUGCGUCUCUGAAUCUUAAACUUGGCGGGCAAACUUACCCCAUUAUGGAAGAAGAAGUACAAACCGGGAAGAAAACAAAGACAAUUGGGACUACUUCAAACCGUGCAGUUUGUCAGGUGGAGGACUGUAAGGCUGAUCUUAGCAAUGCCAAGGAUUAUCACCGGAGGCAUAAGGUCUGUGCUAUGCAUUCUAAGGCAACUAAAGCGCUGGUUGGAAGUGUUAUGCAGCGGUUCUGUCAACAGUGUAGCAGGUUGGUUCCAUCCUAUUGUUAUUUAUUGUUUGGUUGAAACAUUUCCCCGAUUUUCUUGAAUUAACUUGAAAUACAGAGUUUGGUUGUGUAAAUUUUGUUGUCAUGCGUUUGUUGUGCAUGGCUGUUCAUCAAUCUUCUUACGGUAUGGUUGAGUUCUGCAGAAGGUUUUUUUUGUUGAAUUAAAUGUAACAGGGUUAACACUCGUGGACAGGUUUCAUGCUCUUCAAGAGUUUGAUGAAGGGAAGAGAAGUUGCCGUAGGCGUUUGGCUGGCCAUAAUAGGAGGAGAAGAAAAACACAUCCUGAUACUGCAGUUAAUGGAGGCUCUUUAAACAAUGAAGGCGGAAGCGGUUAUCUAUUGAUUAGCUUGCUGAGAAUACUUUCAAAUAUGCACUGUAAGUACUUGCCUUAUUCAUUGUACACUUCUGUCUUAGUGAAACAUUGUAUCUCAGAUUUAUUUGAAUCCGCAUAUUAUGCCAUUUAUAAAUUGCAGCUAGUAGUUCUGAUCAAACAAAGGAUCAGGAUGUCAUAUCUCAUUUGUUGAGGAGCUUAGCCAAUGUUGCUGGUACGGCUGAUGGAAGAAACAUAUCUACAUUGCUGCAGGGAUCUCAAGGUUUAUUUAACAGUGGGACAUCUGUCCAGACUGCACGAAGGGUUCUAGAUAUGAAUGCUGGUGUUAAUACUGAGGACCCUUUAAGGUCUAAAGGACACUGUUCGAUACUACCUGCAUCAAGAGACAGUUCUGAAUCCAAAUCAGUUACACCGGAAGCUACAAGUAGAAGGUUCCAGUUAAAUGAUUGAUUUAAAUAGUACAUAUGAUGAUUCACAGGACUAUGUAGAGAACCUAGGGAAUUCUCAUGUUCCUGCAAGUCCAGGCACUGCAUCUCUUGGUUUUCCUUCAUGGAUGCAGCGUGAUUCUCAUAAAUCAAGCCCACCUCAGACAAGUGGGAAUUCAGACUUAACUUCUACUCAGUCACCGUCAAGUUCUAGUGGAGAAGCUCAGGUAUAUCCUUGUAAUUGCAUCUAUUCCAUAAUUGCUUGGUAAUAUAAUGCUUAAAAAUGCCUUUGUCGUGGAUGAUGCUCAGCCCACUGUAAUUCGUCUUUUUUUUAAUCUUUUUUUCCAUGAGACCAGGGAUUAAUAUAUCAAUUGUCAUUAAUCAUUAUACGGCGUAUAACUUGUCUUUUGUUUGGAUAGUAGAAUACCUUUGUUCUAUCCUUGAGAGUAGUUAGGCAGUCAUGUAUUGUGUUCUGAACGUGUCUGUGUAUCUUUCCAUGGAUUGUCAAAAUAAUGGCGAGGUUAAGUGCGCUCGCUGCUUGGUUAUGGGAUAUAUGUAAGAAAUGCUUCAAUUGUGACUUAAAGUUGAGAUCAGUUAUCUCUUCCUUCAAACCAAUAUGGCAGUUUACAAGCGCAACCACACACACAAACAUACUUGUUGUGUAUACGUCUUCUUGAUGCUGUUAAUAGAAUUGAGGUUAAAGUUACCUGGUGGUUUCUGCAGUCCUAAUGGAACAUGCAUUAUUUAUGUAAAAGGCCAGUAUGUAGAAUGUAUCUGCAAUUUUACGUUUCUUGACUGCUCUUUUUCUGCCACAUAUCAGAGUCACACAGACCGAAUUAUUUUUAAACUAUUUGGAAAAGACCCUAAUGAACUUCCACUUGCUCUGCGAUCACAGGUACUAUAUUUCCUUUGAUUUUUCUAGUUUUCAAAGUACUUUUCAAAGUAUUUUGGUGUUUCAUUCCACGGACUCCAUGAUUUUUAUAAAUUAUUUGAAUAUCCAGAUCCUCGACUGGUUAUCUCACAGCCCUACCAACAUUGAAAGCUACAUAAGGCCGGGCUGUAUCAUUUUGACAAUUUACCUUCGUCUAGAAAAAUCCACGUGGGAGGAGGUAUUCUCGACUGUGGAUGGCAGAUCCUUGUAUGAGGAAGACUUUUUCUUCAAGUCCUUAAUUUUGACAAUUCACCUCUCCCAGACCCUGAUUAAAGCGGGAGCCUUGUGCACUGGGUACGACCUUUUUUUUUAUAAUUAUUUUUGCUUACAGUUCUGUUGUCAUCUGGGAUCCAGUUUGAAAACACUUCUUGAUGCUGCGGAUGAUCCUUUUUGGAGAACAGGAUGGGUGUAUACAAGGGUGCAAGAUUAUGUAGCAUUUACAUACAAUGGUUUGCCUCUCUCUCUCUCUCUCUCUCUCUCUCUCUCUCUCUCCCCCUCUCAUUUCGUGUGUGCGUACACAUUUGUGUAUUUAGGGUCUAUAGAAGAAUCUUGCUGUUUUAGUUUUCCAUUAUGCUUUAUUGAUUUUGGUCAUGCUUUGUUUUGUUAUUUCUAGUACAUAAUGAGGAUUGACCAAAAACAUUAACCUUAUAUGAGAGAAGCAUUUUGAUUAGUUAUGUCCAUCCUGCAGGUGAAGUUGUGUUAGACACACCCUUGCCUCUUAAAAGCAAUAAAAGUUGCAGGAUAUCAUGCAUCAAACCAAUUGCGAUCUCCUUAUCUGAGAGAGCUGAAUUUAUAGUAAAAGGCUUUAACCUUUCUAGUUCCACCACAAGGUUCUUUCAUCUUUCAUUCAUGCGUCAUUACUUUGUUUUCAAUAUUCCUCUCUAGUUUUAUAGGAUAACAGAAGAAAUACUAAAUUCUAGAUCUUGAGUCUUGACAGGUUACUCUGUGCUCUAGAAGGGAAGUAUCUGGCUCAAGAAACUUGUUAUGACUUGUUGGAUGAUGCGGAUAGCACUGUUGAGGAUGACGAACAACAAUGCCUUAAAUUCUCCUGCUCUAUACCAAAUGUUACUGGGCGAGGAUUCAUUGAGGUGCUGUCAUAUUCCUAAUUGUCCCUUUCCCCCUUCCUCCUCUUGUAAUGUGCAUUUUGAACGAGCCGUAUUUUAUAAGUCCGGAAUUUGUUUAUAAAUCUUCUUAUGAAUACUGAGUAUAGAUUUGUUUCUAGACAGCGCCUUAACUGAAAUCCACGGUUCUCAUUUUAUUGGUCAAAUUUAUGUCAGGUUGAAGAUCAUGGUCUCAGCAGUAGCUUCUUUCCAUUUAUAGUUGCAGAGCAGGAAGUAUGCUCUGAGAUUUGUAUGCUGGAAGAUGUGAUUGAGGUGUCCGAGACUGAUGAUGAUAUCCAAUCUGGACCUGAAAAAGUGGAAGCUAAGAACCAAGCCUUGGACUUUAUACAUGAAUUGGGUUGGCUCCUACAUAGAAGUCGCGUUAAGUUUAGACUGGGUCAAUUGGAUCCCAAUCUAGAUACAUUUCCCUUUAGACGGUUCAGAUUGCUCAUGGAGUUCUCCAUUGACCAUGAUUGGUGUGCUGUGGUGAAGAAACUCUUGGGCAUUCUGUUUGAUGGUACUGUCGACGCUGCAGAGCAUCCUUCCCUUGAGUCUGCACUACUGGAUAUGGGCCUCCUCCACAGAGCUGUGCGAAUCAAUAGCAGACGUAUGGUGGAAUUCUUGUUAAGAUUUGUCCCAGGUUUAACAGGAUCUGAGCAGAAGGAACAAGUUGACAGGGACGGCAACAGUUUCUUGUUUAAACCUGAUGUUGUUGGGCCCAUGGGGUUGACUCCUCUUCAUAUUGCCGCCAGUACUGAUGGCUGUGAGCAAGUAUUGGAUGCCUUAACUGAUGAUCCUGGAAAGGUAAUAUCUCCGUUUUUUGAAUUGCAACAUAAUAUUUUUCUUCUAAUUCUAUGUAGAAAUCACUUUGCGCUGGCUACAACCUCCAUCCCAUCUCCAUACCCAUUUGAACUCUUGCGCCUACAGUUGACCUGUGUCUGUUCUCAUACUGUUUCACACACGUGUUUUGAUGAUUUUAACUCAUUCUAAUUUCCAGCAUGUCAGGUUGCUCACGGAUUUUAGAUCUGUAAUCAUGUCUUCUUUGACUUUGAGCUCUCUCUUUAGCUUUUCCACUGUCUUCUGCCUAAACAAAAUACACUGAUUCCAGUUAUUGAGUUGUAUUUCAAAUUCUCAAUUAACCAAUCCUAGACAAAUUAUGCAGUCUUGUAUUUUCUUUGGCUUGCGAAACAUAUGAAACAUAAAUCACCGUAGAAAAGUUAAAUGCGCCAUUCAAAUUGGUAAAGAAAGCAGCACCCCACAUCUAAAUGCAUGCUAACUCUUUCACAGCUGAAAGCGGCACCCAAAUUCUACAUUCAACUUGAAAUCAAAUAGGACUGCUGUUAAAAUUUUUGACGAUAAAUGAAUUAUGAUUCUUUUCAUCGUUCUAGUUUCAACUUUCAAGCAUGUGUUUAGGACUGCUGUCAUGAAAUUUCUUUAGUGUCAGAUAAUCCAUUCAUCAAGUUGAUAUGGGCGUUUUUUUCUUUAGGUGGGAAUUAAAGCAUGGAAAAACACUCGAGACAGCACAGGAUUGACACCAUAUGAUUAUGCAUGCCUUCGAAGCCGCUACUCCUAUGUCCAUAUAGUCCAGCGGAAAAUCAGCAAUACACUGGAAAGCGGGCAUGUGGUGCUUGACAUCCCUGGCCUCACGUUAGACAGAAAUGGAAAGCAGAAGCAAUCGGAUGCGCAUAAAUCAUCAAGAGUAGCCAGCUUGGAAACUGAAAGGAAUGAUAUAAAAGCAAUCUUACGACACUGCAGGUUAUGUGAACAGAAACCAGCUUAUAGCACCACACGGUCACUUGUAUACAGGCCGGCAAUGCUGUCAUUGGUGGCUGUCGCUGCUGUCUGCGUUUGCGUGGCCUUGCUCUUUAAAAGCAAUCCGGAAGUUGUUUUCGUGUUGGAGCCAUUCCGGUGGGAACACUUGAAGUUUGGUUCAAGCUAAGGUUAUAGUUUACGUGUAUUAAUUUAUAGUGACUCUGGUUAUACAUAGACCAUUUCUUUUCACGUGGAUAGGAGUAUAUUUUCUAUCUGAUUUUUAUAUGUAUAUCUAGGGCCACUCAAGCCAACAAGACUCUUCGCAUUGCAAUGGUCGGAACGUCUAUCGUAUCUGUAUUUGUAUACCUAAGCUUCCAAAAUAAACAUGGGCUGUCAUGGAUUUUGGUCCACCAGGUUUGAUUGUAUUUGUAUUUGUAUAACAGUGUUACAAACUGGAUGACACAUAAUUUCUCUGUUUGAUAUUUCUUUUUUUUUUUUCAAAAUAAACAUUUGGCACGAGGUGAUUCGGUGUUCGAUUAUUAGUGCAUUUACUGUAUAAAUUAAAUUUUAAUUUUAGAAAAUUCAGCAUUUUUGUUGGUUAUAUUGGAGGAAAUCGAACUUUGGUCUACUCUAAUUCUAACUUAUUACCAUACCCUCCUCCAUUAUUUGAGCUCAUAUAAGCAUAAGCACACUAAACAAGGUUAAGUAUAGAAGAAUUUGGGAAUUGAGAAUUAUUGUUUGAGCAUUAUUUCAUGUUUAGUGCAAAUUGAGGUUGAAUUAUUUUCUAAUUUUAUUAGUUUAAUCAUUUGGAUGAAUUUGUUCAUGCUUCCAUAUGAAAUCAUUAUUUUAUUAAAAUAAUUUAUUAAUAGUUCGAGAAAAACUUAAAUGGAGGUGCUCACGUCAUUCAUCACGCAUUCACAUUCACAUUCGUUACACGUUUCUCAUAAAAACAUAAAACUCUUUCAAAUGAAUAGGUUUCACUGAAUUUGGAUAAUAUCCGACUUUACAUAAGUACAAGUAUCAAUGCACAUGAUUCCAACCAGUAAUUAUUAUCUUAUUUGAAUUACUUACCCCGAAUCAGACCUGAAAAAGUGUAAUUUAUUCAAAUUUUAUUUUCUGAAAUUCAAAAAAAUAAAAUAAAAUUUGAGGAUAAGAAAAUAAAGGGUAAAGAGGUCAUUUGCAUGCCCUGCCUCCUAAAAUCCACCUCACUACUCACUACCCCGUCACUGCUCUAACAAUUUUGCAGGCCAAAGCCAUCCAUGGCUUCUUCAAUCUCUCUCUCCUUCUCUUCCUCUCUCCUCCCUCAUCCUCUUCCUUUCAACAAAUACUCCACCGCCACCGCCGCCGCCUCCCAGAAAUCCCAAUACCCCAACUUUAAGCUGCUCCUCCGCGCAUUCGCCAACCCAGCUGUAAGCCGUCGCUCCACUCCAUCUCCGUCUUCCGACACCAGAAAGAGGCACUGGAAGAAAGGUGAAUACCCAGGCGUCUCGGAGACGUCGGCUCCGGCGAAUUACAGAAAAACCCCUGGUCGUUCCACUUCAUCUGAGUCUUCCGACACCAGAAAGAAGCACUGGAAGCGAGGUGAGUUCCCGGGCGUCUCGGAGACGUCGACUCCGGCGAAUCACAGAAAAACCCCUGGUCGUUCCACUUCAUCUGAGUCUUCCGACACCAGAAAGAAGCACUGGAAGCGAGGUGAGUUCCCGGGCGUCUCGGAGACGUCGACUCCGGCGACUUACAGAAAAACCUCCGCUCGUUCCGCUUCAUAUCCGUCUUCCGACAACAGAAAGAAGCACUGGAAGCAAGGGGAGUUCCCGGGGGUCUCGGAGACGUCGAUUCCGGCUAUUUAUAGAAAACCCCCUUUGAAAAAUGUGAAGAAGAAGCUGGACCGGAAGAACAAUGCCAAGGCCUGGGUCAACACCGUCACGGAGGCCCUGUCAGACGCCAUUGACAAGAAGCAGUGGCUCCAAGCUCUUGAGGUUUUUGUCUUAAUCUAAACAAAAAUUAACAAAUUUUUCAUCUUUUUUCUUAUGUGUUUUUAGUUUGGUGAAUGUAAAUUGAUGCAAAAUUUAAAAAAAUGGUAUUUUUAUGCUUACCAAUUUAGUUUCUUGAACCAUGUUCUUGAAAAAUGUGAUCUUUUUAGCUGAAUGAUUUUAGUGGAAUUAUAAUUAAUUGGGUGUUUUUGUUUGGAAAAUGUAUGAUGAAAUUGGGUACUAUUACGUUCAGGUGUUUGACAUGCUUAGGGAACAACCAUUUUAUCAACCGAAAGAAGGGACUUACAUGAAACUCAUUGGUAUGCUUGGAAGGUGCGGCCAACCCAAUCGUGCCCGCCAGCUUUUCGAUACAAUGGUUGAAGAGGGCUGUGAACCAACUCUUGACCUUUACACAGCCUUGCUCGCGGCUUAUUGCCGGAACAAUCUGAUUGACGAGGCAUUUUCUGUUCUUAACCUGAUGAAGACUCUCCCGCAAUGCCAGCCUGACGUUUUUACUUACAGUACCUUGAUAAAGGUUUGCAUUGAUCAUUUGAAGUUUGAUUUAGUUGAGUCCUUGUAUGAGGAAAUGGCUGAGCGGUUGAUAGCUCCGAAUACAGUCACCCAAAACAUAGUGUUGAGUGGAUAUGGUAAGGCCGGGAAGUAUGACCAGAUGGAAAAAGUGUUGUCCGGGAUGCUGGAGGGUACAAGUUGCAAGCCUGAUGUCUGGACAAUGAAUGUUGUCCUUAGUGUGUUUGGAAACAAGGGUCAGAUAGAUAUGAUGGAGAGAUGGUAUGAGAAAUUCCGUGAUUUUGGGAUUGAGCCGGAAACUCGCACUUUGAACAUUCUGAUUGGUGCUUACGGGAAGAAAAGGCUGUAUGAUAAGAUGUCAACUGUGAUGGAGUACAUGCGCAAGCUUCAAUUCCCAUGGACAACCGCAACUUACAACAAUGUGAUAGAGGCUUUCGCGGACGUAGGAGAUGCAAAAAACAUGGAAUACACGUUUGAACAGAUGCGUGCUGAGGGCAUGAAAGCAGACACCAAAACAUUCUGCUGCCUUAUUAAUGGGUAUGCCAAUGCAGGCCUCUUCCAUAAGGUGGUUAGCUGCGUUCAGUUGGCUGGAAAGUUUGAGAUACCUGAGAAUACCACAUUUUACAAUGCGGUGAUAGCUGCAUGUGCAAAGGCAGAGGAUUUAAUGGAGAUGGAAAGAGUUUUCAACCGGAUGAAAGAGAAGCAAUGUCAACCGGAUUCCACAACAUACUCUGUCAUGGUUGAGGCAUAUAGUAAGGAAGGUAUGAACGACAAGAUCUACUACUUGAAGCAGGAGAUUGGUACUGAUGGUAAUCAAAGUGAUCAGAUUAGUGUUGAAGAAAAUCAAAGUGAUCAGAUUAGUGCCGAAGAGAAUCAGAGUGAUCAGAUUAGUGUGGAAGACAAUCAGAGUGAUCAGAUUAGUGAUGAAGGCAAUCAAAGUGAUCAGAGUAGUUUUGAAGAUAAUCAAAGUGAUCAGGCUUUUGGAGCUGAGUCUGGCGGUGUUGUCUAGUUGAGAUCUUUGGAGGCAACAGUAUGCUCCAAAAAUCCCUAAUCUCACAGGGCAAUUCCAUUCCCCGCAGUUCUUCUAAGGCAGCAGCAAACUCUUAUUGUGAAAUUGCCGAUCGAUCAGGUAAUCAAACAUUUCCAUUCUCGGAUGGGUGUUAGCAAUGCUGCUUCCUCCAAUUUUAUGUUUCUGGUGAAGGACUGUAUGGAUUGAUCUGAUAGACUGAUAACCCGGGUGAAACUUUAUGGAAAAUGAUUGUACAUACAGAGUUGAUAAGUGUCUCUCUCCAAACUUGAUGCGAUCUCUAAACUAGCAUGCAAAAUUGUACGACGAUUUGUAAGAGUGUUUAACUGUGUUCAACAGAGGAAUUGCUUUUUGUUAUUGCCUGAAAUGUUUUGAAUGUAACUUCACGUAUAUAUUGUCUGCAGCAGCUGCUGGACAAUCAUAGAAGGUGGUCUGUAAACACGUUGUUUUUGAAAAUUAAUCGCUCUUUUCGGUACAUUUUGUGCUGCUGUUGUUCGAAUGUUUUGGCACUUGAGGCAGACAAUUGAUCUGCAAUUAUCCCAAAAUGUAAGGGUCCAGCUCAACAAAACGCAGGGGUAAUUUGAUCAAAGAUGUAAGUUUUGUUAUAUUGACUUUUGAGUAGCAUUGGUAGUGUAAUAAACAAUAUCAGUAACGUUGAAUAAUAAUAAAUUUUACUUGGAUGCCGGCGUGUGUAGUAAGAAUAUGUCCAAAGUGGUUUGGACAACGACAUGAUGGUGCGUUAACUAAUAUGAUCUUAUCACGUGAUGAGAGAUAAAGGAGAGAUGAAUGUAUUCGUGACCUGGAGGUUAUUCUACACGUAAACUUGUAAAGAUAGGCAAACAGGGUGCUUUUUGGUUGAAACGAAAUGCUGAAUUGUUUACUCUUUCUUGUGUAAGAAGAGAAGACUUGUAUCGUAAUCAGGUACUAAUUGUUGUCUUUUGGUCCCACCUUACCUCACACUAUAAAUAAUGGCAUCUAAACCCGAUUAUUCACAGAGAAGCUUUCACAAAAGCAUAAAACUCUUAUAUUUUGGUUUCACUCGCCUCAAACUAGUCUCCCUCGUUGAAAUAGCUAACCUAGUUAGGAACUGUACACAAGUUUCUCUCGUAUCGAAGAAAGUCAAAGAAGUUUUUAGCUCACAAAAGCACAUAACCCCCUAUAUAUUCCAUUUGAAUCACCAUUUACAAAAUUUGUACUAACUUUCCAGUCGAAGAUAGGAUAGUUUCGACAAGUAUUGAACGGCUAAGAUAACUUUAUUUAUUACAUGAAUGGCUAAGAUUAAAAACAAGGGCACGUAGACGAAUACAAACAUCUUCAAUGAGAGGAUCCACCAUUUCUACCAUUGGAAAUUUAAUUUCCUUACAGAAUAGGCGAAAAGUGAAGCGAAAACAAUCGGGAAAGCAAUGAGAACAAUCGCCACGAGGAAUAAACGAUCGUGAUGGAAGCCAUAGUAGUCUUGAAGGAAGGAAGCAACUGUUUUCUGCUCCCCAAAAAUCAAAAUCUCUUUGUUCAUGUCUCCAUAUUGUGAACUGAGGAGGGCAUUUAGGGACCAUGAUGUAGGACAAAUCCAAUAGAACCAAAUCCACCACUUGGGAAUUUUCUGCAUAAAAUAUAUAGAACAUGGUCCGCUAGGCUCACAGUAAACCGUCAUAUUAAGGGUUUAUUUGGCACUGCUUCUUUAGAAAGAACUUUUGCUUAUAAAUUAUAAGCGCUUUUUCUGUAAGUUGUUUAAUAGAGUUAUGUUGCAAAAAAAGCAGUUGGGAGGGCUUCGCAUACUAAAAGCUCUUAAAGUUUUACUACAUAGUCUUUUGGCUUUUCUAGAAGCAGUCUCAAACAGGGCUAAAGACUAAAGAGAGAGUUAGAUUUAGUUACCGGCCCGAGCACAAGGAAGCCGGAAAAAAGAUUCAAUAUGGUGUAGAUUGCCGUUGCGAAAAUGGAAGCUACUUGCAGGCUUGUGCUAAAAGAAGCUAUCAGCAUCCCAAGGUAUACAAAUUAGAGAAAUGUAGAGAAUGUUGCAUGGAAGUACCAGAAAACCUUAGUAGCUGACCAAUAGUACCCUAUUGUAGGGUAUGUAAUAAUGACAUACAGAAUUGCUUGAACCACUUUGUAAGUUAUUUCAAUGGCCACCUACAACAACAUUCAAAAUUUCGACAUGUUAAAAACCUUUCCACUACAAGCUACGUUAUAGUACCAGUUAAAAUGUACGAACCUGUGCAAACGAAUGAGCGUUUGAUGAGUACAUCCCAGCAAAUCUUUCCCGGUACAGAACUGCGCGCUCAGUAGCCACGUAAGGCAGAACCGUCGAGCAAUUGGUUGUGCCCAAAAAUAUUACAGCAAUGUACAGUAACCCAAGCACGUUGAACAAAUCAUGCUCAUUGUUUCUUGAGGAACAAGAAAAACACAGGAUUUAGCGUUGUUGAGCAAAAAUUGUACAUAAUAUGUAAACAAAUAAUUCUCUCGACAUAAUUUCACCCUCGUUCAUUUUUCGAAGAGGGUUUUAUUAGUUUGAGUUUGAUUCAUUCUAGGUUACGCGCCUAUUAAUUACAACCUUUCUUUUGGGAAAGGAAUACCCUUUGAUUCUAAUAUGAAUAAAUCGUAAUUUGAGGAUUUGGGUGUUUAUUUGAUUUUGUGACUGUAUCUAGGUAGAGCCCUAGAUUGCCUACGUACCCUCGUUGAGGGAUCAAAUCACUCGUAGUUCCUUAUGUGUUUUGUUGGGGUUUGACGCCUUGUGCAGUUUCAGCUCAUGCAGAUGAGGAUUUUAAGCCGUUGGAGCUUUAAUAAAUUUGAUAUGGUUUUAUGCCAUUCUGAAAUUUGAUACGGCUUCGUGCCAGUUAACAUAGCUUCGUGCCACUUGAGAUUUUGUUGCGGCUUCAUGCCAUUUGAUAUUUGACUUUUUCUUCGGCUUUACGGCUUCGUGCCAUUGAAUUGGCUUUGAGCCAUUUGAGGCAGCUUUGUCCCAUUUAAAGUGGUUUUAUGCCGCUUAAACGUUGAGUAAAAUUAACAGGUUUAUUUCUGAUAAACCCACUAAUAUUUUGGCAUUUGACUCUGGCUUGGUACCAUUUCUUACUCCAUGUUUAAUUUUACUUUUCCUUUUUCGUUUGCCCUUUCUUCUGACAAAUUUGUAGAGAAUCAUGCUUGGAAUAAAAAAAAAAUUUCCUCUGUUCCUUCAUGGGAUUUACUCCACAAGGGUUUUGUUCAAAGCAGCAGAAGUGAAUUUAGUUUAUACAAACCAGGGAUUCAUCUUGAUUUCUUGGUUGCGUCUAAAAUUUGAUAUCAGACUGCCUACGUAUCCUUAACGGAAUCAAACCGGCGUAGUUCGUAACUUUUGAGACUCAUCGCGGCUUUGUGCCAUUUGAUACUUGAUAUGGAUUCGUGCCAUUUGAAGUUUGACGGAGCCUUGUGGCAUUUGUGUCUUGUAAAUAUUUGUGAUGAACCCACUUUUACAUUGGUAUUUGACUUUGUCUUCCUUUUCAUUUAUUUUGUCUUGGAACCCAUUUUAUUUUGCCUACAAGCCCGUCACUCUAUUGUUGCCCUUUAUUUUUUUGCAUGGUAGCACAAAAAAAAUCCUUGCUUUCAUAUGGAAAAUAUAAAAGCAAGAGUCAAAGCUCCUUUAUUUUUACCAAUGCCUUUUUCAAGCUUUUAAGUCCCUUGCUUUUCUUCUUUCUUUAUUUUUCUUUUGUCAUUGCCGUAUGUCUCCCUAAGAACAACUCCACUUUUGGAGCCCUUUCUCCAUGCAAUCCACUAUUCAAUCCACCAUGUAAACAGUAAUUACCCUUAAUAAACAGUAACUACUUUUGUAUCUCAACCCUUGCACUUGAAUACCCUUGGCAAUAGGCAAUAAAAUAUUAAUUUUUAUAAUUAAUAUUAUAUUAUUUAAUUUGUACAAAUUAAUAUUAUAUUAUUAAUUUAUCUUUUCCAAUCUCUUCCCGAAACUUCUACCAUUUUUGUUUUCUUCUUCCUUCCCACUCUCUCACUCCCCUCUCCCUCAUUGUCUUCUUUUUUUUCUCCGGCCGACAGUCUACCUCCCCUCUCUCUUUUUCUCCCCCAUUUCUCCCUGUUUUCUUCCUCAAACGAGGAAGCUGCGAAUUUUGAGAGAGAGCAGCACCGAACCCACCCGCCUCCCGCCAUGUCUAAAUCCACUGAUGUGUCUUUCUUCCUCCUCAUGGUCCUCUGCGGCCAGGCCCAAAGAGGCCGCCUGCUUCUUUCCGACUUCAACCAAUCAACGUCAUCCGAUCUGAUCUCCGAUAGAGUCCACCACCACCACCGGUCCCACACCCUGGCUCCCUACCUCACUCUCGAGAACGCCCUUUCGGCGGAAGACUCCACCUGCAAGCAGACCUACGUUUUCCUGCCUUGCACCACCACUGUGAUCGACAACCUUUCCUAAUUCCUGACAGAAAAAAAUUAAAAAAAAGGACUGACGCCAGCCUGACGUCAGCCCCUACUCGGGCUGGCAAUUCCUCAUAGACCCUUUGCUCGGGCCUUGGCUGCUGCUUGGGCUUGCUCACGCUGGAGCUGGUCGACAGGGCCUUGGGCUCUUUCUUCUCCCCCCGUCCCUCGAGCAGGAGCUUCCGCUAAAGCUGCUCUAAUGGUUCGAAGAUGAUGGAAUCCAAUUUGAAAUGGCACAAGUUAAAUUUCCAUAAAGAACUCCCAUAACUUUAUUGACCCCUACGUGAGCAACUUUCCAUGUGAGGUGCUGAUUUCAGUUAGCAUUCUUCUUUGAUCUUUUCAAACCCAUUUAAACAUGGGACUUCGAACCUAUCUGACCUAAACUUCUGACCAAUCUGAGAGCAAGCCUUACUCUUUUCUUUGUUUGACUUCAAAGGUCUCCAAAUUCCAAUAAGACUUUAUCCCAUACUUUAAAUGGGGGAACCAUGACUUUCUUUUGUCUUCCACGACUUUCUUUUGUCCUCCACGUGAGUGGUUUUCUUGCUAUGAAGUAAAAGAAGACCACAUCAACAUUUUUUUAACUUUACUUUUGAUUUGACAAAAGCUUUUUGGUCUGGAACUCUUCUUCUCUCCUUAUGAGUUUUAAACAUUUUUUUUUCUUUGUCUUCAACCUUGAAUUUAGCUUUGCCCAACAUUUGACAAUAACUUACUUCAUCUUUGAGGUGCCACGUAUUUAGCCUUUUUUAAAAAAAACAAGCACUUUCUUUUGAGUUUUCUGUUUCCUGCAUGGAUUUGUCUUCACAGGGGUAAAACUAGUCUUCGACUAAAAUCACGAAUCAUCUUUUGCUUGUUGGAGAUUUUUUCUUCAAUUCCUAAUUUAAACAGGAAUUUGAAUGAAACUUGGUCAGUGGCAACUAGCGCCUAUUCUUCUUUGGCUGGGCUUUCUUUGGGUUUCUGUCUCAAUGAAGAACGCCAAAAGUUUUUGAAGAAGACCAUGGCCCGUCGACCGACAGAAGCUUCGGGACCAUAGCUGGGCAUGUUGGGUUCUUGUUCUCCACUUGUUCAAAUGUGCAGAGUGACGGCUUAUUCUCCGUUGCAUCUCUGAAAAGAGGAAGGGAGAUGUCGAAAACUUCUUUAGACACCCAAGAGGCUACAGGAGGUUGUGGGAAGACGAUUUGCUGCUGUGUUUUGAUGAAAUCUCCGUUGGACAUCACAAGUUGCAGGGUGUCGAUGAUGUUGAAGACAUGGCGCAGCUGCUGUCUCUGUUUGGGCUUCCGUCUAACGUCGGCGGUUUAUUGCAAUGUUGCCUUCAUUAGCUAUUUCACACCGCUGCCAUCUUCUUGCUCAAACCUUCGUCAAAUUUGUUGAUGGUCUGGACUGGCGUGCCCAACUACGUCACCUGGUUUCAUCACCUUCGGAUCACGAACUGCACUGCCCUUGGGCUUCUUCCGGAGGACUGACAGAGACGACGGUUGAAAAAUGGUGGUGUUGCCGUAGUGCAGUGAUCACCUAGACCUGGUUGGAACUUCACGGGGUGGUUUAGACCACCCCGAAGAAAUUCAUGGGACUGGGGAUGGGAGAGAAACAAAUUGUUUUUUUUUCUUCUUGCAAAGCCGAGAGAAAGCAUACAAAGAAAGAUUUAGAAGGAUAGAUUUAUACCUUUAAAUGCUUUGUAGCAUUUCCUGCUCUUUGUUCUUGCGGGUAGCACUUGAUAUCUUCUUCUUUUUUCUUCUUUUGUUUCUCUUUUGCCUUUGCUCUCUUGCUUUGCCUCUCAUUCUCUGUUGUCUUCAUUGCGCUUUUCUGUCUCUCAAUUUUUGCAGAGUACCCUUGUCUUUUUUUUUUUUUUUUCUCUUGCUGUAGUUGAUGCCUAUUUAUAGGCAUCCCAAGUAAAGGAUGAUACAUUCCUGAUCUCUUGGGAUUGUUUCCUGUUUCAUCAUGAUUUCCAGAUUUCCCUGUUUUAUUAAAACAUUCCCCUUAUGUAUUCUUUGUAGAUUAAUUAUACUUGUAAAUCAAGUCAUUGUACACUAUUUAAAUCAAUGAUAAUGCACCCUCUAGGGCAUCGAGGGAUUGAGCCAAAAUACCUUCUUUUGAGUUAUCUUUUAUGGUACUCAGAGCCAGUGACUAACGUCUUUUUUUUCUUUUCGGAUUCUUCCUACUCUUCUCCAUGGCUGCCUCAACCAGUUCGACUACUCCUUCCUCCGACAUCUUCCCUUCUGUUUCUCAUGCGAUCUCCAUCAAACUUGACUCUUCCAAUUAUCCUCUUUGGUUGGCUCAGUUGCUACCUGUUCUUCGCAGUCGUCAAUUGUUGGCUUUUGUUGAUGGUACUUCCAUCUGCCCCUCGGCGUUCUUGUCCGACGAUACCGGCAACGCCUCUUCCAAACCCAACCUCGCGUAUGCUGACUGGGUUCAGAAGGACCAGCUUGUUCUUUCUUGGAUCAAUGGCUCUCUUGGUCACCAGGCCCUCGCCGCCACUGCUCGUCAUUCCACUGCCCGUGAUGUUUGGGUUGCUCUUCAGCAGCGUUUUGCUUCUACAAACCAAAGUCGCAUUCUUCAGCUUCGUACUGCUUUCUUCCAGACCAAACGAGGUGAUUCUUCAAUUUCUGACUUUCUUGAUAAGAUCAAUGGUAUUGCCGAUCAAUUGGCCCUUGCCGGGGCACCUGUUUCUGCUGAUGACAUGGUGCCGGUCGUCAUGUCUAAUGUCGGCCCCAAAUUUGAGAACACUGUUGCUGCUGCUCAGGCCCGUGACAACCCCAUCUCCCUUUCUGAUCUUGAGGCUCUUCUUCUCGUUGCUGAACUCCGCCUUGCUGAUCCUCCUGCUCCGCCGGACUCCAGCGUCUCGGCCCUGGUAGCCUCCCGCGGCUCUUCUGCCUUUCAUGGCCGCUCCUCUUCUGAUCGCGGCGGCGAUCGUGGCUCUGGCCGUUUCUCACGUGGGGGUGGUCGUCCUCAACAUGAUGGGUCUCGCAACAAUGGUGGUGACGGCUAUCGUGGCUAUCGCGGUGCUGGUGGUUUCCAUGAUCGUCCGUUUCGCGAUCGUGGUGGUGGUCGUCCUCAGCACGAUGGCUCUCGCUUCCGUGGCUCCAACAAUGCUUCUGGGGUUCUUGGUCCAGCCCCAUAUCACGGUUCCUCCCGUCCUCGCUGCCAUAUUUGCAAUACUUUUGGUCAUGGUGCUCUUGACUGUGCUCAACGUCUUAAUUUGGCUUAUGAAGGUCGUCCUCCUUCUUCCCGUCUCACUGCCUUGACUGCUCAGCACUCCCAGCCUUGGCUCAUUGAUUCCGGGGCAAACUCGCAUAUCACCAAUGAUCUCAAUACUUUGUCUCAGUCCCGUGAUUAUCGUGGUGGUGAUUCCGUCGGUGGUGUCGUUGGCGGUACAGGUUUGCCCAUUAACCGUAUUGGCUCCUCCACUCUCUCUCAUAAUAAUAUUUCUUUCAAGCUUAAUGAUGUUCUUCAUUGUCCGGAUGCUUCUACUUCUGUGUUGUCUGCUAAUCGGUUUAUGUUGGAUAAUAAUUGUUAUAUUACAUUGUUUCCUUCUUGUUUCUAUAUUCAGGAUAUGGAGACGGGGACGAUUCUUUUUUCGGGCAAGAGUAGCAAUGGCUUUUAUCCCUUUUCCUCUUCAUCACCGACUGCUCAUGGUCGUGCUGCUUUUCUUGGUGUUCGUGUUGGUAGUGAUGUCUGGCACUCUCGUUUAGGCCAUCCAUCUUCUUCCAUUUUAAAAUUUCUUUUUUCUAGGCAUUCGAAUAAGUUGCCUGUUUCUGGCAACCUCAAUCUCAAUACUUUUAUGUGUCAUUCUUGUCCUUUAGGCAAAAGUGUUAAGUUACCUUUUUCUGCAUCAUUGUUUGUUACUCAAGCUCCUCUUGAGCUUAUUCACUCCGACGUGUGGAGUGCGUCCAAUAAAUCUGUUAGUGGUUUCCAAUAUUAUGUUCUUUUUGUUGAUAAUUUCUCUCGUUAUUCUUGGAUUUAUCCCAUGAAAUUGAAAUCUGAAGUCUUUAAUAUUUUUACUCACUUUAAGACCUUGGUUGAAAAUCAAUUCUCCACUAAAAUUAAGAUGUUUCAGUCCGAUGGUGGGGGCGAAUACACUAGUCACCAAUUCAAGAAUUUUUUUCUUCACCAUGGUAUUCAUCAUCGUCUCUCAUGCCCUCACCAUCCCGAACAAAAUGGUUUGGCGGAACGCAAACAUCGUCACAUUGUCGACACUGGACUUACUUUAAUGGCCCAUGCGUCGAUGCCUCCUGCCUAUUGGGCUAAGGCCAUGCACACAGCAGUUUAUCUUCUCAAUCGCCUCCCCUCUAAAGUACUUGGUUUUAUGUCUCCUUAUCAAAAGUUGUUUCUUAAGGAACCUGAUUAUAGUUUUUUAAAGACCUUUGGGUGUGCAUGUUUUCCCCACCUACGACCCUAUAAUAAUAAUAAACUCCAGUUUCGUUCUACUAAAUGUGUUUUUCUUGGUUACUCUCUCAAUCAUCAAGGUUCUCGGUGCUUAGACAUCUCUACUAACCGCAUCUUUUUAUCACGCCAUAUUGUGUUUGAUGAAGGUAAUUUUCCUUUCAAGGCCAUCUCUGGCUCUCUUGCCCCAUCCUCCCCGGCCUCGUCUCCUCCUCCUGUUUUAGAAAUCACUGGGCCUCUUCCGCAUGCCCCCCGACCGUCUAGCAGCCAACCGGUGGUUGUGUCCCCCUCUUUGGAGACUCAUCAAUCCAGUCCAUCAUCCGACCCACCACAGCCGGCCCUACAGGUUUACUCCCGUGACCCUCACAGGCGGGUUCUUUCUUUUGCACAAGCAGCAACCCCAUCUGUCACUCCCAGGCCCACGCCUGCUGUUGCCUCUGCAGUUCAACCUGAUGCGCCUCCCGAGGCUCCAUCUGCUGCUGUACCACCUGCCGUGCCCUCUACUUCCCAUGGUAUGCUCACUAGGUCCAAAACGGCUUCUCUUAAGCCUCAUAAAUAUGUUUUUUCUGCUGCCAUUUCUUCUUCUACCGGUCCUAUUGAGCCUACUUGUUUUAGUCAGGCCAACACUUUUCCCGAAUGGCGUACUGCGAUGGCCGAUGAAUUUAAUGCACUUCAACGUGCUGGUACUUGGACUCUUGUUCCUCGUACCGCUUCUAUGAAUAUUUUGCCAAACAAAUGGGUGUUUCGUAUUAAACAGAAUUAUGAUGGGUCUAUUCAGCGGUAUAAGGCUCGUUUGGUAGCCAAUGGUUUUCAUCAGCAACCCGGCCUUGAUUAUGGUGAAACUUUUAGUCCUGUUGUCAAUCACUCUACUAUUCGCUUAAUUUUGGCUCUUUCAGUUCAGUUUCAAUGGCCUGUUCGUCAGUUGGAUGUUCAGAAUGCUUUUCUUCAUGGCUCUUUGUCUGAGGAGGUCUAUAUGCACCAACCUCGUGGCUUUGUUGAUCCACAGUUCCCUCAUCAUGUGUGCCGCCUUCGUCGUUCUUUAUAUGGGCUCAAGCAGGCGCCCCGUGCAUGGUUCCAAUGUUUUUCCACUCAUUUGGAAGAUUUGGGUUUUCGUCCCUCUACUGCGGAUCACUCGCUUUUUACCUAUAUUCAUGGCUCUACUCGCAUUUAUCUCUUAAUUUAUGUUGAUGAUAUUUUGGUCACCGGGAAUAAUCCCUCAUAUUGUCACCCUCAUUAAGAAUUUGGGCAUCCGUUUCUCUAUGAAGGACCUUGGACCGGUUCAUUAUUUCUUAGGCAUGGAGGUGGUCCGCACUCCAUCAGGUCUCUCUCUUUCCUAACAAAAGUAUGCCACUGACCUACUUCACCGCACCAAAAUGCAUGGUGCUAAGCCGGUUCCUACUCCUGCCGUUAGUGGGCGACGGCUCAGUCUUCAGGAUGGUGACCCUCUGCCGGAUCCUAUUGAAUACCGAAGUGUUGUCGGCGCCCUUCAAUACUUGACUCUCACUCGUCCCGACAUCAACUUCGCCGUCAACCAAGUCUGCCAAUUUCUUCACCAGCCGACUUCUACUCAUUGGGCCGCCGUCAAACGCAUUCUUCGUUACCUUGUCGGCACUACUUCUCACGGUCUUACCUACAAGCCUGGUUCCUUUCGUCUUACAGCAUUUUCCGAUGCCGAUUAUGCCGGGAUCCUGAUGAUCGGCGUUCCACCGGGGGCUAUUGCUUGUAUCUGGGUUCCAAUCUUGUCUCAUGGAGUGCCAAGAAACAAAAUGGGGUCUCUCGGUCCAGCACUGAAGCCGAGUAUCGUCAACUUGCAAUCACCGCUGCCACUCUUUCAUGGUUUCGUAUGCUGUUCCGUGACCUCCAGUUUCCUCUACAUUGUCCUACACUGUUUUGUGACAAUAUCAGUGCUAUAUCCCUUGCUUCCAACCCGGUGUUUCAUGCCCGCACUCGGCAUGUUGAGGUGGAUUACCAUUAUGUUCGUGAAAAGGUUGUUCGCAAGGAGAUUGAUGUUCGUUAUCUUUCUACUCAUGAUCAGAUUGCUGACUUCUUCACCAAGGGCCUUUCUCUUCCUCGUUUUCGACUUCUGGUUUCCAAGCUUCCUGUACUUGAUUGUACUGUCAGCUUGCGGGGGCGUAAAGGAUGAUACAUUCCUGAUCUCUUGGGAUUGUUUCCUGUUUCAUCAUGAUUUCCAGAUUUCCCUGUUUUAUUAAAACAUUCCCUUUAUGUAUUCUUUGUAGAUUAAUUAUACUUGUAAAUCAAGUCAUUGUACACUAUUUAAAUCAAUGAUAAUGCACCCUCUAGGGCAUCGAGGGAUUGAGCCAAAAUACCUUCUUUUGAGUUAUCUUUUCCCAAGAAGGCUCUAGAAUUUGUUACGUGGGGGAAGAUGGAGACCAUGACCUCCUGCCACUUUCUGUUAACCCCCUUUUCUGACUCCACGUUUCUUUUUGUUGCAGAAAAUGGGGGAGCACCUGUUUUUUGCACGUUACUUCCCCCCUUAUGUAGGAAAAAAAUUAUAAAUUUUUUAUUUAUUCCUGAAUGUAUUUGUAUGUAAAGCUCAUCCUCAUCUUUUGGGUUGGAUUACAUUUUUGUUUUACCUUGAAGUUUGACUCAAUUUGAAUGGACUUUAUUUUUUCAUAUUUUUUUUGUUCAACAAGCGUAGUUUUCUUUUUCUUUUUCUCUGUGAAAUAUAUAGUAUGAAGAGGGUGGAAAUGGGUCGGGGCUUACAUUUCCUUCACUUUCUGCCAAAAGAUUGUUCCGAACCACACUGAUAGAGCGAAAAUAAACGCGAAACGUGCUAGAUUGUACUUUGGACUUCUCCAGUGGGACAAGUGUUGUUUCCACAGACAUGCCUUAAACUGCACCCAGCUAUUUUGAGCAAAAGGAGUGGGAAGGUUCAAGCCCCUUGAACCCGGCUUUGGUUCGCUCAACCGGCUAACCAACUCGACCGUGUCUCUCUGAAAAAGAAGGAAACAAACAUAUAAAUUUGAUGAUUGAAAUAAAUACAUGAUUAAUCCUAAAAUAAUGGAAAUAUUAGAGAUAUGCCCUUACCUAUACUGAGUAGAGGGUUUAUAAAUUUCAGCAAAAUCUAAACAAAGUUUUGCCUCUACUGAGGCAGAAGUAACUUCUAACAUCCAAGUUGCUGGAUUGUAAUUUUCUUUGAUCUUUGGUACAUCACGAAUAUCCUCAAAAUAUUUGACGAGUUUACUCGAGUGAUGACCGAGAACUCCAGAAUAGAUGAUUUGGCCUCCCCUUUUCAUCAAAAGUAACUGCAAAAAUCAAUGUCUUCCGUUAGUGAUCGAGUGGCUUUUAUGAUUUGGUUUAGUUUUCUUGGACUCCAUGACAAUGCUCGUUAUACUACCUCGUCAAAUGACUGAAAAAUAUCAAUGCUUGGCUUGUGGAUUGUGCAAACAGUUGUCCUUCCUGUGGAAACAACAUUCUUUACUACGCAAAUGGCAAUUGCAGCUGCUCUGGCGUCUAAGCCUGACGUAGGUUCAUCCAUAAAUAUUAUUGAUGGGUUGGAUACAAGCUCCACUGCAAUUGUUAGCCUUUUGCGCUGUUCAGUAGAUAGGCCAGUUUGUCCAGGAAUGCCAACUAAGGAAUCUCUUAUAUCCUCCAGUUCAAUCGUUUGAAUGACUUCCUCCACAAAUUUCUGCAUAGAUUAAGCAAAGGAUACUUUCUUUUAUAUGUUCCAGGAAAUUUGCAUAUUAUUGAUAAAUUGAAAGAAUAUCAUCCUACAGCUUUUAUGUCUGGAUCAGUUUCGUGUGGCAACCUCAACCAAGCUGAGAACAUAAGCGAUUCUUCUACCGUGAUCUGUGGAGAAUGUAUAUCAGUCUGCUCGCAGUAUCCUGAUAUUCUUGCAAAUGUCUUCUGGACCUUGGGGUACCCUCCGAUUCUUAUAUCUCCCACGAUACUACCUCCUGUUUCCCUUCCAGAAAGAACAUCCAUGAGAGUUGUUUUUCCAGCCCCAUGCGGUAGGAAUUCCUGGACUGAAUGCUCCUGUUAUAUCUUUAAGCAACUGAAGCUUUUUCUCCUUGAAAGCAUGCUGUCUCAUUUCCUUUUUUAAGAAGGAAUGAAGUUAAAAUACAACUAAAUAGUUUUCCAAUGAUACUAAUAUGUGAAAAUUGACUAAUGAUUUGAUUAAUUACCGGAGGUGUAUCAACAUAAUACUGCACGUCCUUAAAUGAGAUUGUCAGUGGCUCGAACGGCAGGACCAUUCUCCCUGUUUAACAAAUUGAUUUACUCUCGAAUAAUUCAGUUGUUAAAAAAAUUCCUUGCUCGUUGCUUUGAAUGGAAAAUGUGAAACUGAUAACCCGGAUAAACUGGAUGCAACAAUUCAUCUCACCUAGUGUUAUCUUUUCUCCCAUGGUUUUGAAUAAAUCGGAUAGAGUUGAUUCAUUUUCCAACGGUGCACCAGUUUGGGUUAAUAUUUAACAUUGGGCUUAUAGGAGAGAAAGCCCAAAAGAGUUCAAUAAGAAGAGUUUCGUCCGAAGCCCAGCACCAAGCCCAGACCGUCCAUCUCAAGACCAAUUGGCACUCUCCUAUUAAUGCAAAGGCUAAGUGCUUACAAGAGAAGUGACAACUGAUGAAAAUCAACCUACUCUCAGCCCAAAAGUACUUUUCAGUGGCAAUACAAGUAAAAUAUUGAUGAGUCACUACCAUUCAAUUGCUUUUGGGUAAGAACAAAGCUACAAGCGGUCGGACUAAUUCGUUUAUAAAAGGAGGAAGAGGGCUCAGAGACAAGGACACUCAAUCAAUCAAACAUACAACUUGUCUCUCAUCCAAGCAAAUACCCAGAAAGCUGUGCUUUGUCCAGACUCUGCACCCUUUUAGCCUUAGAUUUCCUUAGAAAGACAUCUUUUUUCUAUGUAAAAGCUCUGCUACAUUUUUCUAAAUGUUGUAGUAUCGAUCCCUCGUGUAUAAACUCGUUUCCAGUCAUCUCCUUUAGUACUCAAUUCUUUUGUAAACUGCAAAGAGAAGAGAUCGCAAGGCGUUUAACCUUGCUUGACAAAGUGAAAUCUUGCCCAACUCUCUUUGUUUUUAUCUUUCAAUUAACAAAUAUGGUGUUAUAAUGUAUUCCGUAGUUUAUAUUCAAGUUAUUUCCAGUCCUUUGAUGACCCAAAGCCCCAUCAGUUCUCAGAUCUGGUUCACUUAGUGGUUUUAUCAAGAAUUGAAAUGAAUUAAACUGAUGACUUGAUCAGAUCUAAGCCUUCACCCCUCAAGCAUACAAAAUAACUAAAAGUCUUUGAUCUCAAGGCAUAGAAAAUAACUUAAUGUAGACUUAAUCCAUCUACAACAAUCCUUUGAUAAACAAGAAGUCAGAAAUAACUUGGGGUGCAAGUAAUCGGCUUAAAACACACUUGUUCUACAUCUGCCAUACAGAGAUGGCAGUGGCACGCCUAAGCACCUAGUUAGUUUUGAAUGCGAGCCUCAAGGCCUAUACCUAAGGCCCCACAAAGGCACCUUUCAGAACUAACUUUGUUUUCCUCUUGCAGUAUUGUGACAAGCAGGAGCCCAACAAUCAACCAAAGUGCCAACUCCUCGGGCAGCUGUGUGCUCGAGCCAGGAACGCCCACCAACCAGAUUUCCUGCCCAAAAAGCACCAGUUUUGCGAGCUCCCCUUCUUCAAAGUUGAGAUAAUCUUUUUUUCGAAACAAUAGCCCGAUACACCUUUGGAGCUGUAUGAGGAAAAGCUUAAGUAAACUGAUGUGGAGCUGUAUGAGGAAAAGCUUAAGUAAACUGAUGAAGUGGAUUGUAAUACUUAAGUUAUCAUCUGUCAAUUAAAAUGAAUCUAAGUAAGUUAAUGCUAAAAUAAAUCCAAGAUCAGACAGCAUUGUGAACCCGAGUAAUGCUCCUACUGAUAUCCAAUAGAAAUAGCCAUCAAAGUUCAAACCAUGCCUGGUUAGAACUUUAUUCCCUAGGGUUGUGUUUCCCUCUGAGACCUAAAGAAAUGAAUUAACACUGUCAAAACACUUAUUCGACUUCGAUGAUCGGGUACUAAAAAAGUUUAUCAUCUUGAGUUGUACCUUUUGCCAGCGAGGAGCGAGGAACUCGUUUAGAGUUGUACCGAUUUCCCCAUAAGUCAUAGGUGAACACCAGAAUAGUCAACGCAACCAAGGAGGUAAAGAGGCUGCAAAACACCCCUUAUUAGUCUAGUUGUAGUUGAAUGUAACUAAAGGAAAAAUACGAUAAAUGGACUUACAUCGUGGCAAGAUGAAGCCUCCGGAUAAAAACAUUAGCACUAGGAUUAAAAUACCGCAAGUUGAUGCAACAACCAUAGUUUGGAAAACUACAGCAAUUAAACGACAUAUGGAUGUCGAUGCUUGAUGGAGAGCAAAUAGCACAAGGAACUGGAAGAAGAACCUAAAAACCAUAGCAUAUUCUUGAGGCAUUAUUAUGAUUAUUGUUCAAGCCUUUCAUGUUCUGUCGUGUGACUAUAAAGUUGAGAUCUUACGUUUUUAUGUCUGGAGCGUACCCAAUCAAAUGGUAAGUUAUUGCUGUCCACAGCAGUGAAUCAAUCACUGAAAAUGGAACCUUCAGGAUAGACUGGAAGAGAAUACGCCCAUGCUGGAUACAGAUUGAAUCCUCUUUGCUUGUAAACCACUGGUAAUCUAGUAACAGUCACAGCUCUGCAAUUCCGUUGGUCAUAAGUCGAAUAAGUGUAUAAAACAAUGAGUUCAUAAAAAAACUUGCAUUUAUCAAAUCCACGGUCCUACGGGUGCUUAUACAGAUUGCCAUUGUAAUAAAUGCAGUGAUGACAAGCUGUGGGAAAAAAAGAGAGAAAAUAUAGUAAGUGAUUUUGAGUUUAACUUCAGAAGUACAACCCCUAAAAGUGAUAUCAUUAGGCAGUAAACCUGAGCUGUUUUGAAUACGUAGAGAAAGGAAUUCCGUUUCAUGAGAAGAAGCUCUCGGGCCAUACAACCUUUGAACAACUCCCAUUUGCUCACAGAGUAAGUACUAAAUGAUAAGGCAUUAUCAUGGCACUGUGAUUUAUUGUAUGGUUUUGAGAGCUCAUCGUCUAAUUUCUUCCCCGAGUAACUUGCUCUGAAAAGUUCAAAAAAUUUGUUUGCAGAAACAUGACCGUAGGGAAUGUUAUCAUGCUUCCAGUAUUGUGCUUGAUCCUUCUUUGAGAUCACCUCUUGAAGGAAAUCUGCAGCACCCUUUCUUGGUGGGCACUUGAAACCAGAGUCUUCGAAAAACUCAACUGCGUGGCUGCGAUGACCGUGGUAAACUAUCUUCCCCUCUGCCAUUAGUAUUACAUCAUAAAAAAUAUCAAUGGUCUCGGGUGCUGGUUGGAGAAGUGAUACCAAUGCAGUUGUAUCUGUGAUAUGCACCAGCUGCUGAAGAUAGGUAACUAUCUGAAAGGUUGUAGAACUGUCUAAUCCCGUUGAUAUCUCAUCCAUAAAAAGAGCUUUUGUAGGACCUACAAUCAUUUCUCCUGAAGAUUAAACAGAAGAGGAAUGUUAUGUUUGAAACAUUUUUCUACAUGGGAAUUAGUAAUUACAUUCAAAUUUCCCUCGGAUUCAAGAUUUCACUACCGGUUGUCAGCCUUUUCUUCUGGCCACCAGAAAUGCCUCUUCUUAAUGCAUCACCAACCAUUGUGUCACUCACUACACAUACCCAGUCCAAGUAUCUAAAGAGAUUCCAAAAUAUCGUAAUUCAUUUUUCCUGUCCGAGUGAGUUAGAAAUGUCACGUUUGAACUACUUAAUGUCAGCAUUGUCCAUGUCCAACACUGGUUGGAGAAAAAUUUACCUUCAAAACAUAAUCGGUUUGGAGAUUUUCCCUUUGUCCUUCAACUGAAAUGGCCUGUGAGUAUUAUGUAAAUCUCUAAAACCUCUAACACAAAAGGGUGGUAAGAUUUACUAAAAGGAAUGUUAUGAGACUUUACAAUUACCUUCAUGUAGGUGUCAAUAUCUGGAUCGGGGACUAUUCCUGCUUCUUUUUCCCUUCUGCUGAGCUCCAUUAUUAUAUAUGCAUAAAAUACGAUCGAAAUUAAACUUCAUACGUCAAUAGAAGUACACGACUAACCCAAUAGUAAAUGCAAUAGGGGAUAAGGAAUAUGCACCAGCUCUACUGCCAACACCCUGGCAGCGGGAGGAAAAGUCAAUUGUUUCCCUCAGUCAUCUCAGGCAGGUGAAGGUCAUGCUGGCUAAUGUAAGCUGAUGUUUUUUGGGGAACAAACUCAUCUAGCUUGUAACCAUUAUAAGUGUUGUAAACUGAAAUAGAAAGGAACGAAGUUACCUAAAAAAAUGUAGAAGCCUUGAGUGGUGAAUGAUUAUUGGGAUGAGUUGCGGACUAAGUCGCUUUCUUUAAGACGUUUCGCGGCUCUACCCAAAGUGUGCAAGCAGUUCACAAACACCACAUCGUCCUAGGAUAAAACAGCCCAAAACCUUCUUCUUCUUCUUCUGAUAAAGUUCUUCCUUGUACAGUAGAAGAACCUUCGAAUUCACAUUCUCUCAAUAUGUUGCUAACCAAAACUAUAUAUUAGAAAAUAUAUCUUCUUUUUUUUCCGCAUACUUUCAAUGAUCCAGGGACUACUAUAUAUACAUUUAGACGAAAGAGAUGUUGAGGGUUUGAGAAAAUUGAAAGCAGGACAAAAUCAAAACGUAAGUCAAAUAAAACGGUUUGAUUAUGUAUCAUGACAUGAUCUUCUUCUCUAUACAAAGAAGGAAUGGCACGUUUCAAACUUAAAAGGAGAUAACUCCUUACCUAAUUGAAAAGUCAAAAUCAAUUGGCAGUUAUGCAUAGAAUAUUGGUAAUAAAACAAAACGUUAUGUAUAUAAUAUUGGUAAUAAAAUAAAACAUAAAUAUAUUUAAAUAUUUAAAUAAAAACAUAUUUACUCAACAAUCCCCCACUUGUUUUUGUUUAAAACUAUACAUCAAGCAAUAUAUCGUAAAGCUAUACAGAAGUAAAUGUGUUUCUCAACUUAAAUCUAUACAUAGUGUUAGUGAUCGAGAUUAUACUAGAGUAACUUAUAGUUUUGAACUCUAUCCCUAACAACACCACACACACAACUUUAUUAAGGUGAAGUUCAAAAAGCCAGCACAUUACAACCAUGUGCUUGUAUCCCAGUAUAGUGAACGCUCUAGAAACUUGCUCAAGAUUUCAUAGGAAGCGGCAUCACUUCCACAUUCACAUAGUUAAGACUAUCAAGGUAUUCCUGUAGCUAGAUAUCUCACUUAACAUAGAGUAUAGACCUUACUAAGAGAAAAAAAAAUCUCAACCUAAAUACGCUUCAGGAUGUCAUGCUUCUUAGGGAUGGACAUGGAAUAAUAUUCCAAACUAAAAUUAGCAAGACUUCACUCUUAUCACUUGUGACUUGUUAUUACCCUUUGAACCUAUUUCUUGGGAUCUCUAGUCUAUAGGUUGGGUUGCUAUCACAAAUAACUCAAUUCUCUAGGGCUUUAGUCCCAUCCCUUUCGAGGUUUUCCAAACCUUUUCUCGUGCUAGUCCUUUUGUCAAAGGAUCAACCAAGUUUUCUUCAUACCGUAUAUGAUCCACUCUCACAGCUCCAUUAGACAGGUAAUCUCUUACAGUGAUGUGCUUACGACGUAUUUGUCGCCCUUUCCCAUUAUAAUAAUGAUUUUGCACUUUAGCUAUUGCCGAUGUGCUAUCACAAUGGAUCAAAACUGCUGGAAUCGGUUUCUCCCAUAAAGAGGUAUCUGACAGUAGGUUUCUCAACCAUCCUGCUUCUUCGCUUGUCGUAGCUAGCGCUAUUAAUUCUGACUCCAUAGUGGACUGAGCCAUGAUAGUAUGUUUCUUAGACUUCCAUGAUACAACCCCACCACCAAGACUAAAAAUACAUCCACUAGUGGCUUUAGAGUCAUCUGAAAGGGUAUUCCAAUCAGCGGCACUGCAACCUUCUAGGACAGCGGGAAACUUCUCAUAGUGUAAUCUAAAAUUCAUUGUCCUUUUAAGGUAUCUCAUAAGCCUAUCUAUGGCAUGCCAAUGCUCCAAACUAGGUCUACUAGUAAACCUGCAUCAAACUCCUACGACAUAAGAUAUAUCAGGCCUAGUGCAAUCAGUAGCAUAACGAAUGCUACCAAUAAUACUCGCAUACUCAGAUUGUUUAACACUGUCACCAAUGUUCUUGAACAAUUUUACACUAGGAUCAUGAGGAGUACAUGCUGGUUUACAAUCAAAAUAAUUAUACUUUCUUAAAAUUGUUUCUAUGUAGUGAGAUUGAUCUAAAGAAAACCCAUGUUCAAACCUAGUUAUUUUCAAACCAAGUAUUACGCUAACUUCACCCAAGUCUUUCAUAUCAAAAUUAGCAGAUAACAAAGAUUUGACAUUAUUCACAACAUGAAUAUUCGAACCAAAAAUAAGCAAAUCAUCCACAUAUAGGCAUAUAUUACUUUCAGACUUAUAAUAGAUGCAUUUGUCACUUUCAUUUAUUUUAAAACCAUUUGAAGUAACCAAACUAUCAAAUUUUGCAUGCCAUUGUGUGGGAGCCUGUUUCAAUCCAUAAAGUGACUUAUUUAACUUGCAAACUUUAUUUUCUUUUCUUGGAAUAAUAAAACCUGUGGUUGACCCAUAUAUAUUUCUUCCUCUAAUUUACCAUUUAAGAAAGCUGUUUAACAUCCAUUUGGUGCACAACAAGAUCAUGAAUAUAAGUUAAGGCAAACAAUACACGAAUAGAUGUUAUUCUAGUCACAGGUGAACAAAUAUAAAAGAAAUCAAUCUUUUCUCUUUGUCUAUAGCCUUUGGCAAUAAGUCGGGCUUUAAAAUUUUCAACUGAUCCAUCAGGUUUUAAAUUUUUUUUAAGAAUCUAUUUGCAACCUAUUGUUUUGCAACCAGGUGGAAGAUCCACCAAGUGCCAAGUUUGAUUUGACUCCAGGGAGUCCAUUUCAUCAUUUAUAACUUCUUGCCAAAAAAUUGCAUCUAAAGAAGUUAAAGCUUCUUGAAUUGUAUUAGGAUCUUCUUGUAAGUUAUAUACAUGGAAAUCAGGGCCAAAAUCUUUAGCUAUUCGAGCUCUUUUACUUUUCCUAGGUUCUAAUGCAGAUUGACUAUGUUUUACAACAUUAGGUUCAUAAAUUUUAGAAGAAUUAGAACCCCCACUAUUUUGAAGAUUAAAAGGAAAUUUAUUCUCAUAAAAAUCAGCAUCAAGUGACUCAAUUAUGACAUGGUUUUUCAAAUCAUAACAUCUAUAUGCUUUGCUAUUACAUGCAUAACCAAUAAAAACACAUUCAUAUGCUCUACUAGCCAAUUUCGAUCUUUUUGGACCAAGUUUACGAACAUAAGCUAAACAACCCCAAGUUUUGAAAUACAAUACAUUUGUUUUCUUAUUUUUCCAAAUUUCAUAAGGAGAGAUAUUCGAUUCUGAGGUAGGAAUUCUAUUUAAUACAUAACAUAUAGUCAACACAAUUUCACCCCACCAAUAAGAAGCAGCUCCAGAACUAAGUAGCAACACUCAAUUCGCAAAGAGUUCGAUUUUUUCUUUCCGCUUUACCAUUCAUUUCAGGAGAAUAAGGAGCAGUAGUUUCAUGAAUAAUUCCAUUAGACUUAAACAAAUUAACAAAUUCAAUGGAUUCAUAUUCUUGUCAUCUAUCACUACGAAAUCUUUUAAUCUUAUGAUUAAACUGAUUUUCAACUUCAGUAAAGAAAGUUUUGAACAUGUCAAUAGCUUUACUUUUAUUUUUCAUAAGAUAGACAAAACAGUAAUUCAAACAAUCAUCAAUAAAGGUAAUAAAAUAACGUUUUCCAUUUCUAGUUAACACUCUAUCAAAUUCGCAUAUAUCAGAAUGAAUUAAGUCAAGUGGUUCAGAUUCUCUAUUGACAGAUUUAUGUGAAGUUCUAGUGAUUUUAGCUUGACUACAAUAUUCACAUUUUUCAAAAUCAGUCAACGAUAAGUUAGGUAAAAAGCCUAAGUUACUCAUGUUCUUAACCAAGAGUUUGUUAACAUGACAAAGUCUAGCAUGCCAAGUAUUAAAAGAAGACAACAUGUAAUCAGAAGUAGACAUUUUAUCAACAUUCAAUUUAAACAUUCCAUUAGUAGCAUAUCCCUUUCCCACAAAAACCCCAUUUCUAGUAAGAGUAUACGUAUUUGCUCCAAACGUUUGAGUGAAUCCAGCCUUGUUGAGAAGUAAGCCUGAGACCAAAUUCUUCCUUAUUGUUGGAGCAUGCAUCACAUCUUUCAGUAUCAUGGGUUUUCCAGAGGUGAACUUUAACUCCACCUCUCCAGUACCAGCAACAUCAGUUGAGUGCGAAUCACCCAACAACACAUUUCUUCCCUCAGCCAUAGAAUAGGUCUUGAAAAGAGAACGAUCGUAGCAAGCAUGGGGAGAAGUGCCAGUGUCCACCCACCACCCACCACCCCUCGGACUAAGUUGAUUUCUGAUAUCAUUGCAAUUAGUUGCUCUUCAACAAGAUUUGUUUGAGAAGCAAAGUUUUCCUUAUAAUGCAUGGCAGAUUGAAUUCAUCUUAAAAUUGUUGUAAACUGAAAUAGAAAGGAACGAAAUUACUCAAAAAAAAUGUAGAAGCCUUGAGUGGUGAAUGAUUCUUGGGAUGAGUCAGGGACUAAGUCACUUUCUUUAAAACAUUUUGCGGCUUUGCCCAAAGUGUGCAAGCAGUUCACAAACACCACGUCGUCCCCAGGAUAUAACAUCCCAAAACCUUCUUCUUCUGAUGAAGUUCUUCCUUGCACAGUGGAAGAACCUUCGAACUCACACUCUCUCUCAAUAUGUUGCUAACCAAAACUAUAUAUCAGAAAAUAUAUCUAUUUUUGUUCCGCAUACUUUCACUACUAAAUAUACAUUUAGACGAAAAAGACGUUGAGAGUUUGAGAAAAUUGAAAGCAGGAAUAAAACGGUCUUAGGUCCGAUUCUCGCCGAAGGCGAAUUUGAACCACUAAACCGUAGCACUAAGUGGCUCCUAACAAUGUCUCUUAACAAGUUUAGAGGUAUUUGUCUUCACUAAUAAAUGAAAAGCGUUUGAAUUUCAUGAAUGACAAGUGCAAUACAAAAUUCAAAUUAUCAUGGUUCUUCCAUUAUAUGAUUUAACCAAAGCAUACCAUCUCUUAGUGUAAAUAUAUCAUUGAACUAUCAUUGAAGUAGUUCCAACAUUCGUAUACCAUCUUAAUUAUCAAUUUACUAUUACAAAAUUUCUAUUAAUUUUUCUUUACAAACUAAAGUGUUAUUAGGCUAAGUUGUUAAAUAUUAGGAGAUGAGUAGGGAUCGACCCACCGCCAAAGUACAUAUAUAGGUAUUACUGUUUUCUGCUACUAUGAUAAAGUGUAAUAUACUUCUAUAUAUUAAAAGAAAAUUCACUGAUACAUUUCCACAUGUAAACAUUCAACAUUGGACAUAUAUAAUAUUUUUCCCUACUUCUUUGGAAAUUUAAUUUUCCAAUGCAAUAGGCAAAUAGGGAAACAAAGACAAUCCCAACUGGGAAAGCAAUGAGAACAAGAGCCACAAGGCCUAAACAAUCAUGGUGGAAACCAUAAUAAUCUUGUAGGAUUAUUUUCUAUUUAAAAAACGUAUGUGAACAUACACAUUAUUUUCUAUUAUAAUAUGUGUAAGUUUAUGAAGGGAAAUAUUCACUAAAAUGAUCAAAAAUCAAAUUCUGAUGCCAAAACAAAAUCAAAUAUUGUCAUACUGAAAAACUAAUCAUUUCAACAAAUGAGAUUCAAAUAUUUGAUUAUUUUGGCCAAUUUUCCUGUAUUGAUACCCUAACCUAAAGUAUAAAUUACUUGCACAUCCAAAUUAUAACACAUGAAUUAACAACACUCCGUCAAUUAGACUUGUGUUACAUGUAUUUACACGGUUAUUGUCAUUCCAAGUGCUCAAAUGCUAAUGGAGUUACACAAAACCAUCAAAUAUUAGAAAAGAUUGGAUUCAAGAUAUACUAAGUAUAAUGUACAGAAUGUUGCAUAUAAAGUACCAGAAAACUUUAGUAGGUGACCAAGAGAACCCUAUUGCAGGAUAUGCAACGGCUACAUACAAAACUUGUAACAUUGUAUAAUGUAUUUUAAUGGCAACAUGCAACAUUUAACACUUUACACUAUAUUUGGAUGAGGAAGUUUAAGAUUGCUAAGGAAAUUUAAAGUAACGGAAAUUGAAAUGAUGGAAUUUUAUUUUAUAGAAUAUGUGAAUUUUCUUGUUUGGUUGAGGAAAAUAAACUUGGAAUUUAGAUAAAAGUCAGAAUUUGUAAAUUGACAUGCACCAGUUUCCUUGUUUGGAUUCAUAAACAUAUAUAGGAAUUUAGAAUUUUCGGGUGAAAAAAAAACUUGGAAUUUGGGACCUCCAAUUCCCAAGUUUAAAUUCCAUGUAAAUAUGUAUCAUUUCCCAAUUUCUAUGAUUGAGUGCUUAAAAAUAACAAAUUCCGUAAUCAAUUCCAUUUAUUUUUAGGUUAACCAAACAAGAGAAUUCACAAAUUCUAGAAAAUAAAAUCCUGUCAAUUCAAUUUCCGUCAUUUUAAAAUUCCUUAGUAAUCUUAAAUUUCUUCAUCCAAACAUAGUGUUAAGAACAAUGGAAUUUGAAAUGAAAUUUGUUAUUUUAAACCCUCAUUCAUGAAAAUUCAGAAAUGACACCAAUUUACAUAGAAUUUAAAAUGGGAAUUAGAUGUCCCAAAUUCCAAGUUUUUUUCUCAUGCAGAAAUUCUAAAUUUCUAUGUUUAUGAAUCCAAACAAGAGAAUUGGUACAUGUUAAUUUUUAAAUUCCAGCUUUUAUCAAAAUUCCAAGUUUAUUUCCCUCAUCCAAACAUAGUGUUAGUUUAAAACUGUGAAGAUUUUGAUUUAUCGAUUACAAACUAAAUAAGUACUUGAAUUCUUAGGCACUUCAACGUAUGAACUUGUGCAAAUGAACAAGGUCGGCCCUGAGAUUUUGAAGGCCCGAGCUAAGCUACCAAAUAGGAGCCCUUUAAUUCUUAGGCACUCCAAUUGGUUGUAGGUUCAUAUACAUUUUAUUUUUAUAGUAAAUACUCAUUAAUUUAUUAUUAUAUCGUACUCUUAUUUAAUUAAUAAUCAACAAUAUGCUAAAGUUUUAAGAAGGUGUUUGGACCCAAAAUUACAUCAUCGGCCCGUGCAAUCAAGGCCGUUGAGUAGGCAUAGCUCUCAAUCGUCGGAUAAAAAAGCAGAGAUAAUUUUGUUAUUAAAGGAUAAUAUUAUGGUUUUUAUCAUAAUUAUCUUUUAAUGAUUUAUCUCGACAUCUUCUUAUGAAAGAGGGAAAAUAUAUCUCCAAGCUGGAAACACGCAGCACAAUUCAAAGCGAUUUGGAUGUUUGGCGUGUGGAUGUGGUUUGGAUCGGUUUUAGUUGACAAAUAUGCAUGCAUGUGAUAAGGGUGAAGUAAAAAUGGUGAUAUGCUUUGAAAAUGAGUCUACAUGUGUUGGUGAUAAGAUGGCAGCAACUGCCUUGCUGACAAUUAACAUUGGGUAUUUUAUGCUAAAUCAUGCAUAUUGGUAUAUGCUUUUGUAUUGUGGGCCAGCAUAUGUUUUUUUUUUAUGGAGCCAAAUUCAUUUAACAAUGGAUAUUUGGAACAAUAAGAAGUUUAAGUAGGCAUAGGCCUUUGAGAGUUUGAGUUUCAGUUGGUUUCUACGAAAUCAUCAAGGCCACGCCAAGCGGGAUCAUGCAUAUUUGAAAGAGAAUAUUCCUAUUAUUUUGCAACUUACGACGGCAAUCUUACGGUUAUAGAGGCAAUGACAACAUAAAGGUGGUAUUUCGAAUUCAACACACAAACUGCCAUGCACAAACUCUUGCUCUACGCGAAACCUCUUAACAACCUUGAGAUUUUUAUUUUCCUUUUUCGCCAACACAUCUUCAGUUUGGAUAAAUAGCACUAUGAAGGCAACCGGUGAACAUCUUCACUUUGGAUAAACAAUACUAUAACCGUAGAACCAUUCGACCAUGAAGCACCUUUAGUUUGGAUAAACAACAUUGCUCCGAGACCGAUUGAUUACCUAUCCAAGUCUCGGUCAAGAAGAAUUUUCAAGUCCUUACUAGUAGAGAUCAUCUCAUCAGCCUUCUCGACGAAGUGAGGUGUUACCAGGUUACUACAUUCGGCACCCUGAGAGCCCAAUUUGAUAUUGAACUUCGUAGAACUAAUAGCCUUGUCUUCAGGUUCUAGAACCUGAAGGUCGAGACGUGUUCAUUUCUCGACCGCAGUCGUGAGAUUCAGAAGUCAAUAGUGCGCCCAAUGCAACAUCAACUCAUUUUACUUACCGGUCAAGCUCGACCGUCGAGUUGGCAUGCCCCACACACAACCGAAGGACAUAGUUAGCUUUUUAAUUACUCGGCUUGUGCGCCACGUAUACUUGAUAGUUUUUAAGAUCAACAGAAGGUAAAGAGCAAUAAAAACUGAUUAACGAAUUUAACAAAUUUAAUAGCGCCAAUUGAUCCUCUUGUAUUCUUCUUGAAAUCAAUUUCACAAUAACGAAUAUUAGAAUCAUGAGAUGAUUGAUAAUAAAUUAUUGAAACAGAGAAGAUAUAGCAAAUAAGAUAAGGUAGCUGGCAUUUGAUAGCGAUUUUGCUUGUAAAACUACACUUUUUGUCCAUCCAGAAGAAACCCAUUCUUCUGUUACAUGGCUUAACCGUGACCACACAAAACAGGAGAGCACGGGAAGGGCACCAGAAGUGGAGGGCAAACAAUCCUUGUCCGUGCUUUGUCCAUCGAGAAUAAGAAAUUGUAGGGACUAGGGGCCCAUUGCUCUUUUGAGAUGCAAGUUAAGGGACCUAACAAAGGGAAGUAAAAAGCAUUGGUAGGACAAAACAAGCCGUUUUAGGAAAACAACUUGGGGGAAGAUUCUCUCAUUUCCUAAUCUCUCUCCCAUUUUCUCUCCUUCUAUUUGAACGGUUACGGUUUAGCUACGUCAAUAUCUUAUAUAUAUAUUUUUAGAGACGAUAAGACAAAAAAUAAUAUGUGGGAGAAGGGAAAAGAAGGGGAUGAGAAUAGGAGGGGAGAUAAUUCUCUUCCAAACAACUUGCCUAUACAAUUCGGAUUCUAAGACGGUGGUAUCCCAAACGAAUCUCAUCCGACUAUGUGUUUAAACAUUGCACAUGACACCACGUGAUUGUUAAAACAUUGUCACCGUAGUGUAUUGUACAUAUACAUGAUUGUUUUGAAGUAACAUCAUCAUUGUGACAUAUUCAUGACGUAUGCUUAUCUCGCCGACUAGAGUUUCAGAUUCCUAACCAGGCGGGCAUAAACGUGCUUACAGCCUAAAAGGCCUUAACCUCAUAGAUCUGAAAACACAUUUCUGUCGGAGAAAUUGUCAAGAAUAAGAUACGAACUAGAGUUUACUCCGGGCAAGAUACCUGAGAUUUUUAGCCGUUAAAGUCAUUGAAUUCUUGACCAAUGAUCUAACAGCUAAGUUCACAUUGUAUAACCGAGGCACACUACAGAACGUAGAAAAAAAUAAUGGGGAUUAAAACGCUUCAUUGGGUAGAGGGAUAAGUGACAAAACAAUGAGAAAAAACACAUCAAUUGUAUUAGAAAUGCAACUUGCCAAUGUGCACAACAACAAAUGAACAUAGUUGCUACUCCACCGCAAAACCACCUCUGUGUCUGUCAAAUCUUAUUAAUCUCUGCGAGCAGAGGUAGCAAAACAACCUUGAAAAAAAACCCCCCACAACUUUCCAUAUGUUUUUUUUGACACCCCCGUUAACCCCUCAUAAUCAUAAACUACUAAUGACACAUUCUUCAAAGAACACGAAAAUAUAAAAAUACUAAUAAAAGAAAACCCAAAUGGCGCAAUGCCUGUAUAGAGAGAGAGAGAGAGAGCGAGAGCAGCAGAGGCUUAAUUCAAUUCAAUGUUUUGAUUCGAAGGGGUGAAGACUGAAGAGCCGCCAUUAAAGCUUUAAGCUUGGGGCUUGUCCCACUUGAGUGGCUUGACAACCUCCCAGGUGAAGUCGGGGUCAUCCCUCCCGAA